rnacentral:lncRNA from 1 species
GCAACCCUCCAUUUUCCACCUUUUUUUUUUUCUGUAAAUUCAGUUUUACUUGGAAUUUGUGAGUUGUGAUUCUGAGUGGAGUGGUUGUCCUCGAUUUUCUAAGUUUGUGAGGAGGAUAUUCUUUUAACUUUUCCUAUAUUUACAAAAGAGUUGACUAUUCAAGUUAGAAACCUUUCUUUACCUCUUUUUUCUGCUCUUUCCUCAAAGUACUGAAGAACAUGAAUUCUUGUGGUCUACUGAGAAUUAAGGUUUGCAAAGGCAUCAACCUCGCUGUUCGUGACACUGUUAGCCAUAGCAGUGACCCUUAUGUCGUCGUCAGCCAUGCUGGCCAGGCCUGUCAUCUUCCCUAUUACUUUUUCUACUGGCUAUUCUUGUUUUUUUUGGCUCUCUAAUCAUAUCAUGUAUUGCUUGUAUCUUAUAUGAUUGAUAUGGCCUUUUAAUUUGUGGGUUUUUUCUGUGAUCAUUCAAAUCAUAUUGGGUUUUUUCUUUAUUUCCAAAGAUUGCAAUUUUGGUGGUUUAUCUCGUCGAAAUCGGCAUCGGUUGCAAGUUGAAGUAGUAGAAUUAGAAGGCCAUGUUAAUUAGAAUUAACCAACCAGAUUGAUUUUCUAAUUAAAAUAUUAGUUGAAGAAGAAUAGGAAAAAGAUAAAGAAAUUAGGUCUAAAUACGAAGACAUAUAGAAAUUCCAAGAUUCUUUUUUUUUUUAAUUUUUUGAAACUGAAUAUAAGAUUGAUGCUGGAGGAUACCUGCAACUGAGGAAAAGGAUAAGCCAAGAAUGAGAAGCAUAGCUGAAUAAGGGGGAUUGUGAACUGAGCUAGUGGCAUUUAUGCCAGAAAGUUAAGUUUACCAGUUCAUGGUGGAAGUGCUGUUUGGCCUAUUUGUAGUUAGGCUAUCAUGGUUUUGUCAGCUAAAUGCUCAAAAAUGUUGAUUGAAUUUCAAGAUACUGAAACUGAAAGUUCAAUUUCAAUGUUUCUUUUCGUUCUUGCAUUAUACUUUAGUUUAGCGGCUGCUUAAUUUGUUUCUUUCUUAUUUAAUAGAGCAAACUUUUGGUUGUUCAUAACAUUUUCAAAUAUGGCAUUGCAAAUGCUUUGCUUUGUUAUUUGAUAAGCUUCCCAUUUCUGGACAGCUAAAAACGUAAUUGGUUGAUUACAAAGGGAGAGAUGCAUGCUGUUGGAAUAUGCUUCAAGUUAUAUGUAAAGUUAAAUUACUAUGCAUGGUUCAAACGUCAAAAACACCUGUUCACUUAGUUUUAGCGCUGCUAGUACCAAAUUGACUUGGCAAGUGAACUCGCUGCAUAGAGAUGGUGUUUCAAUUUUCCUUCACCGUUCACCACCAACAAAAUACUGGCCAGCUAUUUUAAGAAUUUGUAGAUGUUGGAUAGUCUUAAUGAACGUGCUUACAAUGUGCUUAUUCUGCUGAAUAAUUUGGUGAUUGAGGAAUUUGAUCUGUUAUCCCCCUGAUGGCUGCAAGACAAGUUUAGUAGUGAUUACUGAAUUUUCUUCAAUCAUUUAGAUCGUAGGAUCGUGUACUGCUUCUCAUGACGUAAAGUUUAUUGCAGACUGUGAAGACAAGUGUGGUGAAUAAAAACUGCUCCCCUGUUUGGAAUGAAAGUCUGACUCUUAGUUUGAAGGAUCCUAAUGUCCCAUUUGUUCUGGUAAGUCACAUUUUUCUUUUCCUUUCUUAUUGAGUGUCUGCAAUGAACAUCCGUGACUUGAAUGGAUCUAGGUCGGCAGUCUUGCCAAACUGAUAGUAUAAAGCAAUGAGUUCAAGUUUAUGUUCUCUCUGCAUUGUGCUUAAUCAAAAGUGUGUGUUCCUUUGUACAUCUGUCUUGCCUUCUGGAGGACCAAAAUAUGGUGAUCGUCAUGUAUGACUUCCACUGAUUAACAAUGGAUUUUGUGUAUUUCAGAGAGUAUUUGAUAAAGACACGUUUACAGGAGAUGAUCCAAUGGGAGAUGCAGAAUUCAACGUGAAACCGUUUCUCGAGUGUUUGAAAAUGGGUUUGCAAGACCUCCCAGAUGGGACUAAAGUUGACAGAGUUCAACCGAGCCACGACAAUUGCCUUGCAGAUGAGAGCUGCAUUGUUUGGAACCAGGGUAAAAUGUUCCAAAAGAUGAUACUUAGGUUGAGAAACGUGGAAUGUGGUGAAGUAGAAAUACAACUUGAAUGGCUUGAUUAUCCUGGAUUUAGAGGCUAAAAGCAAGACUGAUUCCUUCGCUGUUGUGUGCUUGUGAUUCGAGGGCUGAUGAUGAAGGCAUACAAUCUAAGUUCUUGCUGUAUAUUUAUGGCUGUUCCUCAUGUAAUGUUUGAGAGCUAAGGCAUGACCCUCACAGGAAACUAUGUCGGCCUCUUGUAUGGCUAUUGUUCAGGUUACUGCUUUGCUGGUGUUGCUAUAACAAAUAUAACCUUUUCUGUUUCUUUACUUGGGAGGGGGAAUGAAGGAAGCAGAAAAGGAUAACGGGAAUAAGAGAAUAUUGAAUCCUUGCUUCAAGACGAUCGAGAUGAAUAAGGCCCUUAACUAUUCUAACUGAAUAUAACAUAUUUCUCAGCAAGAAAUUUGAGAAUUUUUUUUUUUUUUUUUUAAAAUUUACAAUCAAGAACUGAAUUCGCCCUGGCUGAUGUUAUUUUCUCUUUCGACAAUUAACAGCAGAAAUUGAUUAGAUGCCAUUUUUCUCUUUCAACAUUUACCCCUGAUUUCCUUUUUUUCUUUAGCUGUGAUAUUAUUUGCUUGACGUUGACAAGAAUUGGUUUUUUUUUUUUAAUUUUAUUUUGAGCUUGAUCAAAUUGAAGGGAAAAAAAAUUAAUCUGGCGUUAUUCCCAUGUUCUCCUCGUCAAGCAAUAAGGAACUUGGCAUAUUCUUGAACAACCUUCACUACCUUUUUUGAGUCAAUCAGUCAUAAGAUCUUGUAUCUCUAAACUUCAUUUGGAUAAAUUACUUCAGAAAAGCUACACAAAAACUGUUCUUGAUUUAGAAUAUGUCAGAGACUUUUUUUCUCUCAUAAAUAAAAUAUCUCAAAGACUUGAAUAAUCUAAUUUUCAUUUAGUUACUUGAAAUUCUUGGGACCAACAGAUGUGUUCCCUAAUUCUAGUUAUAUACAGAUCUCAUUUUCAAAUUCCAGGAAAUAAUGCUCAGUAAUCCAGUCCUCGAUCCGAAUUUCGAAUUUGACUUGGCAUUCCGGUUAAUCCCUACAGAAAAGGGAACCCCCCCCAAUUGGAUUAUUAGGUGUCGUGGAAUAUACGAUUUUUGUGUUCGAUAGAAGUAUCAAUCGCUGAAGAAGAUAUGCAAGAAAAAAAUCUCAGGGCAUUUGGAAGUUUGUUCUCAGAUAUUUCAUCCUUUGCAGGAGAUACAUAUGCAAACUGUAAGGUUAUGGUUUAUUCACCAAUAAAUCUUAUCUUCCUAACUUUCAACCCUUGUCCAAAUAUCAUCACCAUUACACGCUUUGAAAAUAAACUAAGGGCGCCAAGUUUGAAGCAAAUAAUAACAAUGGCUUCUUCCACUUCAACACAAUCACAAUCCCUACAAGGUCUAAUUUCCAAAACAAGCUUUCCAUCACUUCCAAUAAAUAAACCAAUAUUGCACAAUACAAAUUUCAAGAUUUCAUUCCCAUUUCCCUCUAGACAAUCUUUACUACGCGUCGAAUCUUCCAGCACUGUAAAGUCCAAUGAAGUUGUGGUGGAUGAAGAAAUGGAUAAAAUUAGAAGACUGCAAAAUGGCUCGGACGUUCGUGGGGUGGCUCUAGAAGGCGAAAAGGGGAGGACGGUCGACCUAACGCCUCCCGCCGUGGAGGCGAUCGCAGAGAGUUUUGGUGAAUGGGUUGUGGAGAGAUUGGAGGAGGAGAAAACAAAUGGAAGUGUGGAAAAUGUUAGGGUGUCACUUGGACGUGACCCUAGAAUUUCAGGUGCAUCCUUAAGUGCUGCUGUUUUUGCUGGUCUUGCUCGUGCUGGUUGUCUGGCUUUUGAUAUGGGGCUUGCAACUACACCGGCUUGCUUCAUGAGUACAUUGUUGCCUCCAUUUAUGUAUGAUGCUUCCAUCAUGGUAUGGAAAAACAGCUCCGUGUUUUUGAGCUUGUUAUGCAUACAUAUAAAAAUUGCAUAGACUGAUUUCUUCAAUGAUUUUGCACUAAAACUAUUGUUAAACAUAGAUAUCAAGUCUUGAAGCUUUUAAGGAAAAUAAUAAAAUUUGUAGAAAAUGCCUUUUGAGACCGUGUAGGAGAAGUUUGUGAAGACAAAACUUUUUAAAGCUAACUAUUGUUUCCUUUUGCUUUCUAAGUGAUGCUAUGGCUAUGAUUUCCUGAAACAUGAUUUCAAGAAACCAGAUGGUAAUCUUGCUCUUCAACUUUGGUAAAGUCGAACUUCAAAAGACACUUGAUUUUCACAUAUACUUUUCUUUCAUCUGAAAUAAGUUAAAAGCAAAAUUAAAAUCCCGCUGGGAAACUAUAGUCUUUAAAAAUAGUUCAAGGCUUUAAGCAAAUGAGAGAAAAUGGGAAAAUACUACUACUAGGCUUUGGAUGUUUCUUUUAGUCUGUAUUAGUAUGCUAAUAUGUGGAAGAAUUGAGAACUAUAACAUGAUGCAGAUGACAGCCUCUCAUUUGCCGUACACCCGGAAUGGUCUGAAAUUUUUCACCAAGAAUGGAGGCCUGACAUCGCCGGAUGUGGAGGAAAUAUGCUACAGAGCCGCCCGGAAAUAUGCUAAUAGACUUGCAAAAGUGUCAACUGCUCUCCGGAAUCCACCAAAACGAGUGGAUUUCAUGAGCACUUAUGCAAAACACCUCAGAGAUAUCAUCAAGGAAAGAGUUAAUCAUCCCUUGCAUUAUGACACUCCUCUCCAAGGAUUUCAGGUUGGAAAUUUUAGCACAAUCUUUAUUUAGUUUGUGACUGAAAAAUUCUCCUGCACGAGUUGUUUUUCCCUUGUCCUCUUUCAUUCAUGUGCAAUGGUGGUUCCACUUACCUCAUCUAUGUUGGAAUCAAUUGUUAUACUAGCAAGUGAACAUUGGCCAUAAAAAUUGCAUGAUUGUCUGUGUUGUUAGGGUGAAUAUUAACCUUUGUUUGAUUUAUUUAUUUAUCUUUCCAUCCUUUUCUACACCCUUCUUAUUUUUAACUGUCAGACACAAGAUUUGAAUCCUGAAUCUGACAGUAACGAAGACUCCAAGAACUCUUUCUUGUCUCUAGACCCUAGUGGUUAGGAUGAAUAUUGUCUCUAGACCCUAGUGGUUAGGAUGAAUAUUAACCUAAAAUACGUGAUUGAAAUAUACGAAUUUUAUCUGAUUAAUUUUUUUAAAAGUAAUUUUGCGUUCGUCUGAUUUAGUAAAAUGAACUACUACCUACCAAUAUUUUGAUUAAAGAACUUACUACGAUAUAAUAACGAAACUUUGGGCUCAGCCUAAUACUUUUGUCCAAAUAAAAUAACUGCAACCAGAGUGUCGGCCCACGCUCUUCCGGACCCCAACAGUCAAUACGCUUGCAACACAGGCUGGCCAGAAAUAGCAAAUGAAACGUAAGGCCCAUUCUAAAACAAAAUGAAAAUUUGUUCUUAAAAAGAAAAUGAAAGAAGGAAAGAUAUAUGGGUACCUUCAAUUUACUUACUCUAUACGGUGUUUUUUUGGGUAAAUUACAGAGUCUUUUUUAUUUAUUUUUCUUCUUAUUUGGGAUGCAUAUGGAGGAAAUCUGAUGAAAUUAAUGCAGAUAAUUGUGAAUGCUGGAAAUGGAUCGGGAGGGUUCUUUACAUACGAUGUCUUAGACAGGCUAGGAGCAGAAACAUUCGGUUCUCUACACCUCAAUCCAGAUGGAAUGUUCCCUAACCACAUUCCUAACCCUGAGGACAAAACUGCCAUGGCCUUAACAAGGGCUGCAGUUCUUGAAAACAAAGCUGAUCUUGGCAUAGUUUUCGACACCGAUGUUGAUCGAAGCGGCGUCGUUGACAGCUCUGGGAACCCCAUAAAUGGUGACAAACUCAUAGCACUGAUGUCUGCCAUUGUCCUGAAAGAGCAUCCUGGAACUACAAUUGUGACUGAUGCACGAACAAGCAUGGCCCUGACUAGAUUCAUCACUGACAGAGGAGGUCAGCAUUGCCUGUAUCGAGUUGGAUAUAGAAAUGUGAUUGAUAAAGGAGUUCAGCUUAAUAAGGAUGGGAUGGAGACUCAUCUGAUGAUGGAAAUUACUGGCCAUGGUGCUCUCAAAGAAAACCAUUUCCUUGAUGAUGGUUAGUGUAUUUCUUCUACGGAAAAUAUCAAGAUUGCAGACACUGUAACUUUCAAACUUAAAAGACAUAUAUUAAUAGUUUUCUAACAUAUCUCAUGUAACUCAGUCUCUCAAUCUGAUUCUAACUUUAUCCCUAAAUUUAAAAUAAACAUUCUCCCGAUUUCUUAAAAUUACUGGGGUUUACAUUGUCUUUUUGAAUUUGAAAAUCACAAUGUCUGUAAUGCAACUAUUGUCCUUGUUCUAUAUAUAAACCUGAAUCUUAAAUUUUGGCAUGGAUUCUUGAUAUGCACUUUACAUUGAGUAAAUCAAGCGAUGUGGUUGAAUUUUGCAGGUGCUUAUAUGGUUGUGAAGGUCAUCAUUGAGAUGGUAAGAAUGAAGCUUGAGGGCUCAGGUGAUGGAAUAGGUAGUCUUAUUAAAGAUCUUGAAGGGCCCCUGGAAUCAGCAGAGCUUAGGAUGAAUGUCAUUUCUGAGCCAAGGUUUGCAAAAGCCAAAGCCAUUGAGGCCAUUGAAACAUUCAGAAACUACGUUGAGGUACAUAUCUAUUACUUUGUGCUAAAAAAGAACAAGGAAAAUAGCAAGAACCAUAUCUGGUCAAAUCUUUAGUAUACUUUAUGCUAAAAGAAUGGUAAAUUAUUUGCAGGAAGGUCAGUUGCCAGGCUGGGAUUUAGACUCUUGUGGAGAGUGUUGGGUAAGUGAUGGCUGCCUUGUGGACACCAACGACACUCCAGCAGCUGUUGAUGCUCACAUGUACAGGUGCCAAAAGUUUUCAAACUAAUGCUCUGCCUCCUUUUUUUCUUUGGGGCUCCUUAAUCAAUCUCUCCUUUUCCUCUGACAAAUUUCCGCACAAAAAUUACAGCCCCUUCCCUUAAAUCCGUAUGAUGUAAAAGAAUUGGUCACCUAAUUUGAAAAACAUAAAACUUUUUCAAUGGUCAGGUAGAUCUUUAGGUUGCAUCAUUGUCUUUUAAAUCUUAGGUUAUGGAUGCACCAUUGCUUUUGGCGAGAAUGGCUCAAGCUGCUCCUAAUCUAUUUAUCAUAAAAUGUUAACACCUUGACAAACUCUACAUAAUUGUAGUCCCUUUAUUGCUAAAUACAAAUUUGCUCAAACUCCAGGGCCAAAGUUUCUGACAAGGACAAUGCAGAACUUGGAUGGGUACAUCUUAGACAGAGCAUUCACAAUCCAAAUAUAGCUGUGAAUUUGCAAUCCAACGUACCAGGAGGUUGCCAAUUGAUGUCAAGAGACCUCAGGGACAAGUAAUUUCCAUUACUUCAUUAACACUAUUGAUUUCUUGGCUUCAUAUUAGUACUCUCGAAAUUUUGAUUCAUUCAGCCAAUUUAUCUAUGCUUUGAUUCGGAAUUUCAGGUUUCUUUUGGCAAGUGGGAUGGAUAGAAUUCUCGAUAUCAGUCAGAUUGACAAGUAUGCCAGAAGCGGAAGCGUUUGAUGAUAUGCAAAGCCUUGUGGAAAAAUCAAGCAUAGAUGUAUAGUAGAUAGUAUGCAUAUAGAAGCAUAGAUGUAUAGUAUAUAGUAUACAUAUAGAAUAUUAGACCCGUGAAUUGUACCUACUUGUACAGUACGAACCCUUUUAUUGUAACAUUCAUAUACUUUUGAUCACUCAUUCAGUAACCAUACCAAUUAUUGUAAACAUUGACAAUUUGAGAUGGAAAACUCAACUUGGCCAUGCCAAGGGUAAUUCAUGCAUAUUUUCCUUCUCUUUUUGUGGCUUUUGACGGUUGUGGUAGCUAAGGUUAUGCUUCUUAUCAUAAGCCAUUGGCAAAUGUUGAUCCAUCCUUCUUGGUAUCACAACGAUUUGUGCAUAAAAGAGACAAAUGAAUUUUUACACGAUAGAUCAUAAAAAUGCUAAAAUGAAAAUUAUUUUAGACACAUAUGGCAUGUAUUCUUGACUGGUUUUACAUUGAAAUUCCUGAUCAAGAAGCUUAUGAAGCUUGAAAAUGAUCUUGGUUCUUGAGGAAGUAAGCAUCAAUUAUGUUACUAACUUCACUUGCAAAGUCAAACAUGUGAUCAGGAGCAGGGACAUCUAAAUUCUGCUUCUCAUACUCGUAUGUCCAAUUAAGAAAAUUCUUUGCACCUUUUGAAGUUGCUUGGAAAGUUAUUAGCAAGCUCUUAUAAUCCUUCAGAAGAUCACCCUCAAGAAUUCUGUAAGUCAUUGACCUGUUAUCUUCAUCAACAGUUUCAAUGGUCUCCUUUACCGGAAUUAGUUUGCCAUCUUCAAUUAAUACACAUGAUUACAACAUGAACCAAAUUAGGAAUGAAAAUCAACAAAAAAAAAAAAAAACAUUGCAUAUUUAUACAAGGUCUACGCUCUUUAAUAUAAGAAGUCCAUGCAGGCCUUACCAAUCAAGUAAUUUACCAAAAGUUUGCAUCCUACUUCUCCCCAGUUUCCUUCAAGUAAUUCGAUGCUAGGAAGUUUGUCAGGGCAGAUGCUUGGCAGAUAUUGUUUCUUGCUGCCAUAAAUUUCGAAGAAAAGUAUUCCAGGAGAUGAGAUCUCCUGCUCGAACACUAGCUUGCCCCUAAGACUCAUUCUUGUCUGGACAAUUUGAAGAAUAAAGUUCCCUUUGAUCUUUAUAAACUUGUAAAAUGUAGUUAUUUUAUUUCUGAGCAGAAAGUUUAAAAUCAUAUUUUGGGAUUGAGAUCUAUGAUUGAUUGCUUUUCCACGAGGCAGUCAUGAUCUGAAUGGUUGAUCCCUUGAUUAAAAACAAAAAAACAAAAAUACGCUUGAUCACCUAACCUCCUAAUUGGUGUUUUUUCUAGCCUCCCACUCUGAUUUCCUUUUUCAAGAAUAGGACAUCACAACUCCUAAUUGGUAUAUUUUACUCUCCACUCUGUUUAUCUUUUUCCAAGAAAAGGACGUGCGCCAACAAAAUAAGCUGAUUUAUCAUGACAAGAUUUUGUUACACAACUUUCUUUAGAACAGCAAAGCAAAGGGUAUCACAGAUGCUUUUGCUAGAGAAAUUGUCAGCAGAGGUGGAUGAUUACAAUCAAUGCUAUCACAGAUGUUAGUUCCAUGACUAUGAAGUUUUUGUGUUAAUGACAAUGUACAAAUUAACAUCAAAUUGAAUAUGGUUUUUGUCAGCUCAUUAAUAUCUAGUUUUAAUUUGUGUUAUUCACAAAAAGAGAAAAAUUAUUGCAUAUCUCUAUCUCCAAACGAAAAAUUCUACAAAGUAAACCUGAUAAUGCAAUGGACACAAACUUAAAAAGCAAGUAACAUGUUUGAUCUGUUUUCAACAAUGGGCUAGAGGUUACAAUGGAGGUUUAGCUGGUAGGCGUCCCUUUGCCAUUUACUAAAACCAUUGGUGGCUACUAGCUAGCCACUUUUUAAAAUCUUAGGGACCUGGUGCAAAGCACAUAAAAUUCGAUUCUUAUUUGAAGGUGAAGGACCUGGUGCAAAGCACAUAAUUUUUGGUCUAUUAAGCCUGCCUUCGUUACAAUUUGAUCAAACAACAUAAGAUGAAAGCUAUAAUAUGGCUUUAUCGACCAGAUCAUAAUUACUAAAAACACAAAAUUAACAUUAUGCUUUUGUUAUUCAUCUCCAGGAUAACGUGCAUCAACUGUGCUGGUAAUUUCGCUAGCAAAACCCUUCAAUGCAUCAGGAGGUGGAACAUCAGCAUUCAUCUUCUCAUAUAUGUAUGUCCACUUCAAGAAAUUCUUUCCAUGUUUUGGAAAGUGAUUUUCAAGGUUUUGUACAUCUUCAUCAGGUCACCCUCAAAUAUAGCAUAAGUAAAUGACUGGUUCUCUUUGUCCACAGCUUCCACCGUCUCCUCUGAAAUCAAUUCUUUCCCUCCUGAAAUAAACCCACAUGAAAAAAGGGUUGAAUGAUUGGUAUAAACCACAAUCCAGCUGACUUCUGUAGGAACUUUAUUUACACAAGAAAGUUGGUGCAUUAACACAUAAUUAAAGAUAGGUUUUUGGCAAGUGUUAAGAAAUUGUUGCAGAUUGCAAUAAUGAAAAUCUUCAACUGAUUUCUAGAUUUUUGCUUCUACUGCUGUUCUAAGGCCUAACCAUGAAUGUGAUGUGAUGGUUGUAAUGGCAUCUAGUAUUUGUAUUAAUUACCAUAAUAAUCUAAUACCAUUUCCGGGGAGAAAAGAAAAAUGAUGGAAAUUUGCUUGUCUGUGAGAAUAAUGAUCUUACCAAUUGAGUAAUGGACAAGAAGAAUACAGCCCACGUUUCCCCAAUCGCCUUCCACUGAUUCAGUGAGAGGAAUCUUGUCUGGGCAGAGUUUUAGCAAGUUCUUAGGUGGAAGUUUAAAUAGGGUUAACUUGGAUACAGUGGAUUUCACACCAAAAAAAAAAAGAAUUCAUGAAUGCCUAAGAACUAUUGUGCCUAAGAAAGGUUUGUCCAAGUAAACUGCGCAGUCAACCCUCCAACAAUUACUGCUCAAAUUGUUGUCGCAAAAUUUCUUUUCUAAUUCAAAUAUACUCAUCCAGUAUAAUCUCAAAUAAAUAAAUAAAUAAAGAAGAGAGAAAGAUUCCUUCUUGUCCAUCCAUUUUAACUCGAAGAACUCUUCCAUCAAGACCAUUAACAGUUCGAAUCUAUUUGCCGAUGAAGGUUUAGUGUAGUGAGUAACCUUGAGAUCUUAAAAUUUACCUCAGGAGAUGAGUCCUCAAGUUGACCUCAGGAGUUACCACCGUGGCUUUUGAGGUUAAUUUGAGAUUAGGUUUAACUACUGAUUCUUAAAAAUUUCUGACAAAAAAGAGUAACAUUGAGAUCUUAAGUUUUAGAGAUUUUAGGUUCCAAUCAAACUGCUCCCUUCAUGCUUCUUAAAUCUUACAAUACUCCUAUUAAAAAAAUUAUAAAAUAAAAGUUCGAUUCUGUUGAUGAUAUGGGCCACCCAAGGACCCAAGCUAAAUUUAAUUAUGGGCUUAGUUUCCCUGUGAAUUGUUUGGAAUAUGAAAGAUAACUGGAGCACGUUUGAACCCGGCCAAAUUAGACAUUUAUAGUGUCCGGAUUGCUGGACAAAAUGGGAAUACGCAUUUCUUAAUGGGCCUCUUCUACAUUCUUGCCCAAGAAGAUAAGCCAAAGAUAUGGAUAAAAGAAAAGGAAUAUUGAAAAUGAAGAUUUACCAAUUUAGUUUUUUUUUUUCGUUUUUAUUCUUUUAGUUUGUUGAAUAGAAAGGCAUAUAGCUUGAGUAAUGAAGUAAAUAAAGUAUAAAAUCUUUAUACUUUUGUUUUUUACAGUUAAAUAGAUCAAUUUUACCCGAAAUAACAAAAGGGAACUAGCUAACAUAUCCAAUAGAUGGCCAAAUUAUAAUUUGGUCAUUUAAGCCUACCUUCCUUACCCUUUGAUCAAACAAACAUACAUUGAAAUCUAGGAUAUGGCUAUACCCUGAUUUAUGAUGAUAAUUAGAGUUGAAUCCAUCUAAACUUAGAAAUUUCUAAGAGCCACAAGCUCGCAUUAUCAUUAGAUAAUUAAUUGAGUAAUUAAGUUAUCAAGCUCGAACCACAUGGCUUCUUUUUUUUUUUUUUUUUUUUUUUAAAUUCAGUUCUAGACAAUGUGCAUCAAUUAAGCUGGUAAUUUCACUAGCAAAGCCUUUCAAUGCAUCAGGAGCAGGAACAUCAGUAUCCCUCUUCUCAUAUAAGCACGUCCACUUCAAGAAACUCUUUUCAUCAUUUGAAGUAACUUGGAGGGUGAUUUUCAAGGUGAUGUACAUUUUCAUAAGAUUCUCCUCGCAUAAAUCGUAAGUGAUCCACUGGUUCUUCUUGUCUACAGCUUCCACAGUUUGCAUUGAAGUCAAAACUUUCCCUCCUGCAAUAUAUAUAUAUAUAUCACAUGAAAAAUGGUUCAUUCAUUAAGUGGUAUAAACGUCAAGCCCUCUGACUCAACCAUAUAUUUGUAGAAUUCUGUUUACACAACAAAAUUUGGAGAAUUAGCACAAAGUUCAUAUGGUUUUUGGCAAGUGUUGAGUAAUUGUUGCAAUAACAAAAACCAUUCAAACUAAUUUCUAUAUUUUUGCUUCUAGUGUUUCUUUUAGGGCCUAGCUGUGUUAAAUGGCAUCUAGUAUUUCUUUUGAUUACCAUAAAAACUUAAUGGAAUUACCGGGUAGAAGAGCAAAAUCACAAAAAAAAAAAUGCUUAUCUGUAAGAAGAAUAUUCUUACCAAUGGAGAAAUGGACAAGAAGAAUACAGCCCACAUUUCCCCAAUAUCCUGCAAGUAAUUCAACGAGACGAAUCCUAUCCGGGCAGAGUUUAGGUAAUUUAUGUAUCUUGCUGCCCAAAAUUUCGAAGAAAACAUUUCCAGGAGAUUUGAUUUCCUGGACAAAUUCUAGCUUACCGCUAAGGCAACACAUUAUUUUUAGUGCCACAAUUUUCCAGUAUACACUUUGCACUUGAUGAAGUUUGGAUAAGUCCUCGUAUACAUACUAGGUCGAAAGUAAACUCAAAUCCUUUUACAGAAGUACGUUACAACAUAAAUUUUAGUUUUAGCGUUUGUUUGCUAAAUCAAUCGUAGUAUUCUCGUGAGCUCAUGCAAUGCCAAGACAAAGAAACGGUAAAAUGGGAUUUGCGUUACUUACUCGAAAUGAAUUUUUUUUUAAAGAAAAAUACAAAGAAAUUAAUGUUAAAAGAUUUACUCCUUUUCAUAUAUUUUUAUCAAAAAGUACAUAGGGAAAGGGAUGGGUUGAGUGAUUCGGGAAAAAGAAUGUAAGUGAGAGGUUUUGGUUUUAAGCUUUCCACUCACGCCGUUAAAACAUAUAAAUUCAAAGUGUAUGUAAUUAGACUAAUUUUGGGAAUUAUUUAUUCUAACACGGUCGACAUUAUUGAUGAAAUAUGGCAUCGGCAGAACCUAAAACUUUGAAAUUCAUCUGUUCCAGAAUUUCAAAUGGUAACAUUUUUCCUUAAAAUUUUGGAAUAUUUAUUUUAGGGAGGUAACAGCAUCCGGUGGAAUUGAAAUAUGAAUUUGUCUAACGGGUGUGCAAUUUGCCCUCGUUGAAAUAUCAGCUUGGCUAACCGGUGUUCAAAUGGCCCUCGCUAAGUGGGACAUUAGGCAUUAAUUUUGAAAAAAUGUAAUUAAUUUGAAAAAGUUUAUAAAUUCAGGGGAUAUAAUAAUGGUGAUUGUGUGAAUUUAUAUGGUAAGUUAGAUGUAAUUUAGGUACGUUAACAAGUAUCCACCUGGAUGGGAACCUUUACAAAAAAUCCAAGGCAUUAUUGUUGUUUUGAGAGAAUGGGAGGGAAAGGAAAGCAAACGGAAAUGGAGGGAUAAAGUUUUUAAAUUUUGGAUUAGUUUUUGAGGAGAGAAAGAAAAGGAUUUGAAGGGAAAGGGAGGGACAAUAAUAGUUUUUUUUUUCCAGCCUGCUUCACAUCCAAAAGUGGACAAAAAUAGAGGAAAAUGACAUCAAAAUUAGUGAAAAUUUACUUGUUUAUAAAUUAAACUUUAAACUAUGGAUAAAAAUGUAAUUGACGAUCGAUAGUGUCCUUUCCUUUCCUCCCAUAAUCCAAACAAUAGAUGGACUCAGAUUUCUUCUACUCCCCUUUCUUUUCUUUUCUUUUCUUUUCCUCUAGAGCCUUCUCCUUUCCUUUUCUUCCCUUUCUUUCAAUCCAAACGGUGCCUAAAAGAAAAUACAAGAUGAUGCGACUAAAAAGUUUAUACCAUUCCUAUCGACUGUCAAUUGCAUCAAAACAUGAACUUUGUCUAUAUAAUGUGCACGCUUUGUCACUGAUUUUUGUCGAGUGCUUAGACCAUGAUUGUUAGUGUUGCUUGCUGGAUAGUUUACUCUCAGUAAAAUACUUCGAGAUUUUAGGCCAUAGCAUAUACUUAUGGCUUAUAAAGUGCAUUACUAUAGACGAAAACUACCCAAUCAGCAACAACGGUAAUAUUGGGUUUAAAUGGUACAAUACACUAGGAUAAUGUGCAUUUUACCGACUUCAUGAAUGUGAAGAACUAAAUAUUAUGUAUUAAUUUUAUUUUAUUUUUUUGGAUAUAGUUGGCUUCAAUUAGCGCUCAAACUCGAGAUCUCACAAGGAGAAAGAGAUACCAUAUAUUUUUUUUUUGGUAUGGUUUCUCUUUAUUACUAGAGUUGGUAUCAAAUGUACUUAGGAGACAGAGAUACCUUAAACGACCUUAAGCGAGGGCUAUGAGCUAUAAAACAAGAAGAGGACGAACUACUAGAAGAAGAAUAUGGGCAUAAUAGAGUUGCAAACAAAUCAAAUUGCCCGCUAGUAAUUUGAGUCAAAAGUUGACUCGAGUAAGAUCAACAUCAAGUUCAAACUAACUAAGUCGAAUUUCAGGUCAAAUUCGAGUUCAAAGAUGCUUAACUUGUUAGCUCGCAAGUUGACUGGAUUUUAUAUAUUUAUAUUUAUAUUUUAAUUGUAAAACUACAAUUUUGCCUGUGCCUUACUAUGGUCUAUUUUUAUUUAUUGUGAAUUUAUACAAUUAUGAAUCAUUUAAAUGCGAAAAUUAACAACAAUUCUACACGUUCAUUCAUACUAACUUAAAAAAAUUGAUGUAUUCUAAAUGUUCAAUUAUUUUAAAGCUUUACUUGCUUUGGCCCUAGAUUCACUUUCCUUAGUUAUGUAGACCACUGGACAUUAAACUUUUUUUCCCCUUUUAUUUUAUGCUAGUUUUCUUUUGUGUGAAAUUUUGAUCACGAAAUAUAACUAGAAGCAUCUGGACCUGUCCAAAUUAAACACAUCUAAUAGUAUGGAUUACUGAAUAAAAAGGAGCUUAUGUAUUUUGCUAAUGAAUUCAAAGGAAUUCAUACGCAGGGAGACAAACCAGUUUGAGAUGGGGAUAAAUUAAAAAAGAAAAAUUGAAAAGGGCGAUAUACCGCCGUUUUAUUAAUUUUUUUUUAAUUUGGUAAGUCCUUUCUUUUUGAAAGGUUAGUUUGGUAAAUCAACUCAAGUAAUGAAGUAACAAAAGUGUAAACUUUACACUCUUUACAGUUAAACAGCUCCAAAAAAAAAAGGUCUGUUUGCUAAAGAAUACAAUCUAGCUCUCUAGGGUAUACUUCUCAUCAGCCAUCAUACUACUUCUGCUACUUUAAUUGCUAUAAGUUCAUGCUGGUAAAUGUAUUUGCACCAAAGUCAUAUCCAAAUAUUUAUUAGCUGAGUUAAAAUGAAAUAUAAAUGGUGCGAUAUUUUGGAGUUAUGAUUCUUUACUUUAGUGGAAUAUAUUAGAAUAGUUGGCCAAAUAAAAGAAAUCAUUUGGGGUUAUAUAUUGAAAUCAGCAAAUUUGCUGAAGAAAAAUAGGUCCUUGCGAGUACGAAGCAACCACAUGUUUCAGAAUCACAAUAAAAUCACAAAUAUUCAUUACUCACAAAUAAUAUUUAUUUAUGUUGUUCAACCUUUACAAACAUUGCUUGUGAAACUAACAAGCAUUAGCUUUAUAAUGACAUAGCACACAUUUAUUCGUGCAUCCAUUUUAGAAGACACCAUAUAUAGCAACUUCAAACACGCUAAAUACUUAGAAGAUAUGUCUCUCUCUCUCUCUCUCUCUCUCUCUCUCUCUCUCUCUCUCUCUCUCUCUCUCUCUCUAUAUAUAUAUAUAUAUAUAUAGAUGGUUCAAGCAUUUUUGAUGUGAUGAGAUUCAAUGUCUUCAACCAUGUGAAGGAAAAAGUUGAGCAAGGUUCCUGGAUGUGGGGUAUCUUCCUUCAGCUUCUCAUAGUCGAGAGUCCAUGUAAUCAAACUUUCUUUGUCACCAAGAACAUCAACAUGGUAUAUGAUAGUGAAGGUCUUGUACAGCUCCAUGAGAUCUCCUUCAAUCAUCUUAAAUACGAUUGAUUUCUUUUCUUCAUUUAUGUCCUGAAUAAUCUCCUUUGCCACCCUAUCUUUCCCGUCUGUAAAAAUGAAAAUUAAAUCGAUUACAGACUCUCCAAUUCCUAGUCAACAUGCUGGUAAUCCAAAAACAAGGUUUGCGGAAUUCUUUCUUUUUGUUUUUUUGCGCAAAAAAGUAUGUUUUGAUUAGGAUAGACUAUACCAUUUACACAACCAGGGAAGUAUUCUCGUUGUGAAACACCAGGUAUAUAGCAAAAGAAAAAAAAUCAGUAGUAUUUAUUAAUUGAAUUCUUUACGAAGAUGGACUUCCUUAAUUAACCUUUGUUGUUUCCACAAUCAGAUUAUUGUCUUUGUAUAAAUACUAAUGAUAAUAUUAAUAAUAAGGUUAACGUAAUAGAUCUAGUCCGUUUUUCAUUAAAACUUUUCCCGAGGCAGAUAUUAAGCUUUUAUCCUUUCUUUUUCUGGCAAAUAAGUUAGAUAACUAGUUGUAUGCCAGUUCAAAGCAGGUAAAAACAGAUGGAGAGAGUUUAAAUCAACUUAGUCCAGAAGCUGACUAACAUGCAACAAAAGCUAAAUGAAUAAAGGAAAAACAAGAAAAACUGCGAGAGAAGAAAGAGCCAAAAUAAGGAACUUGAAUAUUGAUUUCAUACCAUGGGUAUAAUGCCAGCAGAUUUUGGAUCCAACAGUUCCAAGAUCACCACCAAGCAAAGUAAACCCUUGAACUUUCUCAGGAGUUAUGGUGGCAAGAUCAUGUGGUCUUUUGCUUAAGACAUCGUGGAACACAUCUCCUGCAGGGCCAUGGAUGUUAGUUGACCAAUCAUUUUACCUUUGAGCCCCAUUUUUUUUCUGAGAAACUGAGAAGGAAAUGACCAAAUACUGCUGCAGCAAAAAAAUGCAAAGAAAUAUGGUCUACUAGACUAUCCCUUUGCUCCUUAUAUAGUAUAGAACUGAUGGGUGACUUCACCCCCCACCUCCACCCCCACCCUUUCUUUUUUUCAAUUGGGGUCUAUAAACCACGUAAGAGGAACCAAUUAUCUUCGCUAGCAACUAUCUUUUUUUUCCCUAGUUCUGCCAUUGUUACAAAGUUUUUUUUUUUAAUUCAUGAGAUGUUGUAUUGGUAAAUCAGCCCUAAUAAAUGAUACUCAGCAUCUAUUAAAAUGUGAUUAUCCUCAUUGUCUAUUAAUCUAUAAUCAUAUUACAUCUAUAGUUUUGCACUUAGGGUCAACAGACUCGACGCCAUUCAUUUUUUUAAUGCCUACAACUAAGGUUUUCUUGUGGGCAACUUAAAUUUUAUUUUGAUCGAUAUUUCUUAGUCUCAUUUUUGCUUUACGACAAGAACAUUGGAUAAAAUAAGGGCCAUCCUUAACAAAUUAUUUUGGAGAGAUCUACUUCUCGUGUCCAUGGCAAAAAUGACUCUCCAAUAAUGACUCUUAGAAGUUAGUUGACACAAUAAAUGAUAUAAAUUCAUGAGUUUUGGACAGCUGGUAAGUAGACUGUUAAUGUCAAUAAGAGAUCGCAAGUUCGACUCCUGUACGUGACACCUUGAAAAACUCUGGUAAGAUGGUCACCCCCAAAUAAAAGUUGGACUUUAUGGAUGCUCCUUGGACCGAAUCCGGGUUAGACUCACUAAGAGUGGGGAUAUCAGGUGCUCAAAACAAAAUAAAUAAAGGGUAAAAAAUAAAUAAGCCCCCUGUGGUAAACCUAAUAUACAGAAAAACCUCCCAUGGUUUCAAAUUAUAUAACACGACCCCUCUAAAUUGUAAAGAUGACGGAAUCCGUUAAACUUAACGGAAAUAGACAAAAUGACCAAAAUGCCGUGAUAUAAUUAAGCCAAAGACAGCUCAAAAAAAUCAUUUGUUUUAUUCUCUAAAUAGAGAGAAUUGAGGGUUAAGGGGUAGAAUAGGUAUAUUUGAUAAAAAUUAGGUAUAAAUUUUUUUUUAGGUUUCAAUAAGUCAUUUCCGUUAAGUUUAACAGAUUCCGUCACCUUUACAAUUUAGCUCAAAGUAUGAGGUGCCGUAUUGUAUAUUUUGAAACCAUAGGGGGCUUUUCUGUGUAUUAGACUUACCACAGGGGGUUUUUUUGUUUUUUACCCAUAAAUAAAUGAUAUCCUCUUCUUACAUGGUUUUUGGUAGGUGGCAUACUAUUACCAAAUGGGAAAUAAAUGGAUAAGUUAAGGCCUUAUCUGAAUUACAGUUUUCUAAAGAAAAUUUUUGACGUUUUACAUAAACACAUUUAUGAAUCAUAUUUUAAUUUCACAUAUAUCAAAUUGUUGUAGCAUAUUUUUUUUGAGAAAAAAGUUUUGACGGCUCUCCAACUCUUUUUCAAGUUAAGUUUUGGCCCUUCAACAAUUAACAGUAAAGUUUUGGUUCUCGAUCUAAUAAAAGAGUAUAUUUGUGGCCCUUCUGUCAAAUCCAGAUAGUAUAGGGAUGGGCAAAAAAACCUGUUGAACCGAAAAUUCAGCGAACUCGAUGCAAUGCGAUCCGAUUUUUCUUAGCAGGGCAAAUAAGGGUCGGGUACCCGUGAAAAAUGGAUACGGAUACAGAUCAGAAAAAUAAAAACUCGUGGGUACCUGAUCCGCAGGGUAUAUUAUAUAAAUAUUAAAAAAUUAGAAAUCAUUUUAUAAUUUUAUAAUUUUUAAUCCUAAAUGUAAAUGAAGUGCCUCACAGCCUUAUAUUCUAAUAUCAUAUGAUCUGCCUCUCCUCAUAUUGUUUGAACAAAGCAAAUAUUCUCGGUGAAACCUAAAUCAAAUGAACAAAAUGAAGAAAAAUUUGUGAAAAUCUAUCAUAAAAAUUGCUCAUCCCUUUGAUUCUUUUCAUUUUUAGUCUACCUCCAUUGAUCUUUCCUGCAAAUUUUUUAUCAAUUCAAUCAAAGAUUUGUGUUUGGAGUUCUAAUUUUCUAUUAGCUAGAUGAUUAAAACAUUUGUGUCUUUCAUUUAUUUAUUUGAUUUAUUUUAUUGUAAUUAUGUCUCUUAAAUUUGUCUCUUUUAUUUUAGUGCAAGAAAGUUAUUUUUCUUUUUUAUCACCUUUAAUGCCAUAAGGUUUAUUCCAAAGAUGUAAGGAAAUUGGGAAGGAUUUUUCAAACUUGUUACUAAAAAGUGUAAAAUGAUCUCAAUUAAUUAAGCAAUGCAUCACUCAUGAUUUCAAUUUGAAGUUGAAAUUCCAAUGCAUCACUCACUAAGCAAUACAUAGUUGAAAUUUGAAGUUGGCUACAAUGAAUUACUUUCACUCAAUUAUCACACACACACAAAGAGAUAAUCAAGUAUAUGCUGGCUAUUAGAUAAAAAUUAAUUAGUUGGGCUGGCUGCCUUUGAUGACUAUCAAUAGAAGAUACACUAUCAUUGGAUACGCUCCCGCAAGCUGAAGUCAAGUCAGUCACAAUAAAAAAGAAGCCCGUCCCUAAAGUUUUAAUCAAAAUACAUUUCAUCCUUAUAGUUCUAUAGUUUUGAUCAAUUUCAUCCCUAAAAUUUCAUGUGAACAUAUUUUAUCCUCAUAGUUUCAUAAAAUUGACCAAUUGAGGACAAUUGAAUGAUUGUUAACCAAUUUGGACCAAGUAUCAUACAUAACUAGCAUGUCCCAUUGAUAAUUGUAUCAAUACUUAAUUCGAUUAUUGAUUAAAUUAUAUAAAUAACAAUGAGUGUGUUCGGAUAAAAGAUUAUUAUUUUUAAAUAUGUGAUAUAAUAUAUAUGAAAUAAAAAAAUAAAUUAGAUGAUAGACAGACAAUUUGAAAACGUGAAUAUAAUGCGACAAAACAAAAUUUUAGAAACAAAUGGCAAUCUAAACAGUUCUUUCUUUCACGUUAAUAUUUUUCUUCAUUUGAUUGCAAUGUAAUUGUUUGAAAGAUUUAUCCAAUUGGCUAUAAUGGAGUUAUUUCUUCUCCAUGACUUUAUUUCCUCUCAAUCUUUUUGUUCUAUUUGUGAUUAAGAAGAGAAUAAUGGUGGUUGAAAAUUUCUUAGUUUUUUUUAAAUAAAAAAGUGAAUUCAAAAAUAGUUUUUGAGGUUUUUUGUUGAUCCAACAUUUUCUGAAUUUUACUAACAUGCAUGUUGUGGUCAAGUGAUGAUAUUCCAUUCAAAUUGCUUGGCAAUCAAUCAAUUAUCCUUAAUUAGUCAAAUUUAUGAACUUAUGAGAAUGAAAUGUGUUUACAUGAAACGUUAAGAAUGAAAUUGGUCAAAAUUAUAAAAUUGUAAUGAUAAAAUGUGUUUUGACUGAAAUUUUGGGGACGAAAUUGCCUAACACCUCAAACAAUGAGGACGAAAAGUGCAUUUUUCCCUAAAAAUAAAAUGAACCUUCAUCCUUCCCCUUAUGUUUUUGGGCUACAGUCCUUUUUUGUUAUUACUGUGUUGAUAUUCAAGAUAACCGAACGUAUAUAGCUAGACAUGUUCCUUUUGAGGAAUCUAAGUUUUCCCCAUUCCUUGGUCCUUCUAUACUUGGUCCACCACCACGUAAAAAACAAACCAAUUCAAUCCACCUUGACUUGUUCUACCAAUUCAUGUUUUCAAAUUCAAUGGAUCCUACAUACAUUUUUAUCACAAACCGACUACUACUCUAACCCUUCUUGUCAAAGUCAAAUGAACUGACCCUAUGGUACUUCGUCACGUAACCAUCCAGAACAAAAACAAUACUACUUUAGCAAAACUUAUCUCUAAACCUUCUGUGGAGUCAUCUGAACUUAUCUCUAAAUUGAAAUAUGAAGUUAGCUGACAAUAAAUUACUUUCACUCAAUUAUUACUUAACAAAAUAAGUACAGUAUAUUGAAAAUCAAGAUGAGAAUGUGGGGUUGGGACAUCUACAUUUGCUUUCUGGUAUAGAGUCCAUUUCACCAUGUUCACAUCACCUUGGACAGUUGCCUGGAGAGUGGCUUUUACCAAAACACAGGUCUAAUUUUAAUUGAAAAAAAAAGUAAAUAUCAAAAUGGUGGAAUUAAAACAAGCAUGUAUAAGCUGGAAUCCAUCAACAAAAUUUAAAAAAAAAUGAAUAAAGAGAUUAAUUGGUUAAACUCACAUAGUAAUUUUCAAGGCCAUAAAACCAUGUUCAUCCUAGAUGGAGUCUGAUCAUUAAUCAUUUGGAGUACAAGACAGGCCAGUAUAAUUUCUUAUGUUUGGAUAGACUAGAUCUAUGUAGAUCACGUGAUUCAAAUUUUAUCAUACAAUCUCAGCAACUCAAGAAUUGAUGGUAUAGAAAAUUGUACCACAAGAUCAAGUCUAUCCAACUUUUUACCUCCUCGGUAAACUAUCAUUACUUAGUUUUAUGAGUAUCUUUUCCUUGCCAAGAAAACUAAUGAAAUGACUGAUUCUUUUUUUUUUUUUGGGUGUAAAGGCAACCACUUGAGUGAUUUCAGGAGAGACAAUGAUGACUUUAAGCUAUCAAAGUUUACUUUGCAGUAAAAAUGUAUGGCUCCAAAAAUUUUCUCACAGUCUUGUUAAAAGCUAUCAUAUAUAUGUCUGCUUUUAAUCCUACAGAUUAAUUACUGAGUAAUAGCUUUCUUGGCCCAUGACAAUAGGAACCGUCCGUCUUAGUGUCACAUAAUGCAGAUUCGUAAAACUUUAGCCCGACACCUAAGGGAGAUUCGCACUGAUAUUUCUAAGCUUAGGUAGGACCAAUAGGAGCCAAAAGAUGCCUCAGGCGCAUCAAAACUCGGUUUGGACCCCACCAAUUUACGCUAGAGCCCGUUGUGCAUUACAUCCAUGGGAGUUCGCCUUCCCCACCACAAUUUACAAGGACAGGACAGGAGCACCAAAAUUGGUCUUGUGUUUCGGCCCCAUCUCUCUACAGUAGAGUAGAAAGUCUUGUACGUGUAUCCAUGGGCCUGGUCCCGGGCCUUCCCUUCCCCACCACUAAUUAUACGAGAUUGGACAGCGACCACCGUAUAAAAUUUUUGUCCAUUGCUGAUUUUGGAGUUUCUGAAUAAAAAUGUAUUAUUAUAGUGAUUGGAUGCAUGCAAAAAGAUGGUUAGAAAAUUUGUUUACGGAAAAAAUAUAAUCUUUUUUUUUGGAAAAAUUACUUUUCAAAUGAUGCCUAGAGUCGGGUACAAACUACCCUCAAGGCAUACAAACUACCAAUCACAACUAUUAGAUUUAAGCCAUGCUUUUAUCUAUUGUCUGAGAGUAGUAAUUCUUAGGCCCUGUUUGGAAUCAAGUUUUUUGGCCAAGUUUUUUAGCUACUAGUUUUUUAACAACUUUAGCUACAGGAACCCAAAAAAACUUAUCAAAUUUUUUAACCUACACACUUUAAAAUAUCUAAUACACAAAAAACUUUCCAUUUUCUUCUUCUUUCUCCCCCACCCCUAUCCACCACACCUCCGCUGCCGGCCACCACCACCUCCACCGCUGUUUCCGGCGCCGGCCUACCCCUUUUUUUUCCUUCUCCCUCUCCCUCUCCCGGCCUCUCCCCCUCCCCCUCUCUUUCCCUCCCCUCCCCUCCCUGGCCACCCUCCCGCUUCCUCUCUGGUCGCACGCUACCACGAAAGACCGAAUUGGGCAAAAGGCUUCCGCUUCCUCUCUGGUCGCACGCUAUGCGAUCUGGUCGAACGAUCGAAUUGGGCAAAAAGGGAGGGGGGAAGGGGAGGGGAGGAGAGGGGGAGAGGGAGAUGGAGGAGAGGGGGAGAGAAAAAGCAAAAAAAAAAAUUGUAUUCUGCCAUGGCUGCUGGUUCUCCGCUUCGGGAGGGAGAGGGGGAUGGUGAAGGGGAGUAGAGGGGGAUAGGGGAGUAGAGGGGGAUAGGGGAGCAGAGAAGGAGAAGAGGGGAAGAAAAAAUGAAAAAAAAAAAUUGGGGAGAGGGGCUGUUGGUCGUCUGGUACCGCGAGGGAAGAGGGAGGGGGAAGGAAGGAAGAAGAAGAAGAAGAGGAGAGGAGAGAAAAGAAAAAGGAAAGAAAGAAAGAAAAAGAAAAAGAGAGAGAAAAAGAAAGAAAAGAAAAAAAAUGGAAGGGCCAUGGCUGCUGGGACUGAGAAGGCAGAGGUAACGGGGGAGGGAAGGGGGAGGGAGAAGGAAGAAGAAGAAGAAGAGAAAAAAGAAAAGAAAAAGGAAAGAAAGAAAAAGAAAGAGAAAGAGAAAGAAAAAAAAAGGAAAAAAAGUUUUUCGCUUUAAAAAAAUUUCUACAAAAAAGUUUUUCACCUUACAAAAACUUCUACAAUUUUUUCAAAAACUUCUACAGUGCACUACAGUAAAGUUUUAGACAAACUCCUAAAAAACUUAGGUUCCAAACAGGCCCUUAAUUUCAGCAUUAGUAGCAAAUGUAAAAACGAUUCCGCAGGUUAUACUUUGUGUGUUUGAAACACUUCUCUCUAAAACUCUUUCUCUCUCCCUUUUCUCUCUAAAACUCUUCCAAUCAAGAUCUUCUUCAUCUCUUUCACGGGAAAGAGAUCAAAUCUGAUUUUUUACCUCUGGGAGGAAGUACUCUUUAUACUUUUUAGUUUCUCUUGUUUAAAUAAAGGGAGAAUUGUAAUUUCAUCCAAUUUUGUAACGGAAUCCUAAUUGCGUGCAAUCACUUGCCUAGAUGUAGGAGCAUUUUAAAAUUUUUUUAACUCACAAAAUGCCGAUGACUUCCCUUUGGGAUUUCACUCCAAUUAUCCGAAAAUAAAAAAUAACCUGGGUUACACAAAGUCACAAACUUUCGUCGAUAUCCAUCUAAAGACUUUCGCCUCCGUCCUCUGCAGUUUGCUCACAUCCUUUCCAGGAAUCCCCUCUCUCUUCUCUCUGUCCUUUCCUUUUUCUUUUGUUUUCCCUUUCUAAAAGGACUCAAACUUCCUUUGCUCCGGUAAAUCCAUACAUGCUUUACCUUUUUCCCAGUUUUCCUUUUAUAGUCUUGGAUCUGCUUAGCUUUUCUGUUCCUUUUGUUUUUGAUACAAAUAUUGAGGCAAAUAAUAAGAGAAGCAAAAGACAAAUGUUUAUUGCUUUGUAAAACUCACACAACUUAUAACAUGAAAUUACUCUAUUUAUAGAGUUUAAAUCAACUCCACUAACUAUACCACUAACUCCACUCACUCCACUAGCAACUCCACUAGGUACUCCACUAAUCCCACUAGUUAUUCCACUAACUCCACUAAUUAGGUAGCAUAAACAAAUAUAAUUAAUUAACAACGGCAAAUAUUUCUAACAAUUCCUCCCUUAAACUGAAAGUUUAUCAAACAUUCAGUUUAAUAUGAUUUAUUAACUGCACAGACUCCAAGCAGCUUCCUUAAUUUCUGAAACGUGGAUAACUUCAAUGGCUUGGUCAUUAUAUCAGCAAUCUGAUCUUCACUUUUGCAGUAGAGAAAAUCAAUUAUUCCAUCCCUUGUGAGCUCCCUUAGAAAAUGAAACCUCACAUCUAUGUGUUUGGUUCUUUCAUGUAGAACUGGAUUUUUAGAGAGUUUGAUGGCAGAACUGUUGUCACAAUAAAUUGUAGUAGCUCCUUCUUGCUGAAAAUGCAACUCUUCAAGAAUAUUCCUUAACCAAAUUGCUUGACAGGCACAGGCGGUUGCAGCUACAUACUCAGCUUCAGUUGUUGAUAACGUAAUAAUUGGUUGCUUUUUUGAACACCAUGAAAUAGCUGCUGAACCCAUCAUGAACACAUAUCCAGACGUACUCUUUCUAUCAUCAGAAUCGCCUGCAUAGUCACUGUCAGUGAAACCAAACAAAUCUAAUUUUCCACCAUUCUUGUAAAAUAAUCCAUACUCAAUAGUUCCCUGCAAGUAUCGAAGAAUCCUCUUAGUAGCUAGAAGAUGUGUCUCCCUUGGAUUUUCCAUGUAUCUACUAAUAAGACUUACAGCAUGUAUAAUAUCAGGCCUAGUUGCUGUCAAAUACAUCAAACUUUCCACAAUUUGCUUGUAAAGGGUGCUAUCAACCCUCUUUCUCCUGGUUCUUUGAUGAGUUUUAAACCCACUUCAACUGGCGUACUAACAGAAUUACAAUUCGACAUUUGAAAUCUAUUCAGAAUUUUUUGCACAUAUUUUCUUUGAGAGACAAAAAUUCCAUCAGCAGAUUGCACCACUUCAAUACCCAAAAAAUAAUGCAUCUUUCCAAGAUCAGACAUAUCAAAUUCGGCCAUCAUAGAUUUCUUGAAUUUCUCAAACAUGGCACUAUCAUUCCCAGUAAAAAUAAGAUCAUCAACAUAUAAGCAAACAAUCAGCAAUUCCUCGCUUUGACAGUCACUGUGAUCAUUGGAGCAUGCUAAUGGAGAACUUCUUGAGAUCCAAAGAGUAUUGACAGAUUGUUGAAUCUGGAGUAGCAGAGCCAACAGCUGGAGAAAUAUUGUUAGAGGUGCAGAAAAUGGAGUUGGAAGCAUUGAAACUGAAAGAUUUUAAAGCCAAAAAUUAUCUUUUUCAAGCUAUUGAUCAGGCCAUUUUGGAGACAAUUCUUAGCUGGCUGCACAAAAUUGUCAGUGGCCAUCAUAAUUUACCAACACAAUUCUCACAACUCACUUUUGUUUUCACUCACAAGCCUAGCUCUAGUACCACUGAUACAAAUAUUGAGGCAAAUAAUAAGAGAAGCAAAGGACAAAUGUUUAUUGCUUUGUAAAACUCACACAACUUAUAACAUGAAAUUACUCUAUUUAUAGAGUUUAAAUCAAUUCCAGUAACUCCACUAACUAUGCCAAUAACUCCACUCACUCUACUAGCAACUCCACUAACUCCUCCACUAAUCCCACUAGUUGUUCCACUAACUCUACUAAUUAGGUAGCAUAAACAAAUAUAAUUAAUUAACAACGGUAAAUAUUUCUAACAGUUUUGGGUUUGAAGCGGAUGUAGCUUGAAUAUUAUACAGGAGGGGAAGGGAUCUGAGGUAUUUUUCCAUUUUUUGAGCCCGGAAUUAGGCCUCCAUGCGUGAUAUACUGUUUAUUUAUGGCUGCAGAGAUUUGUUUGUGAGUGAAACUGAUAUUUUUGUUCAUCCUUGAAAGUUUCUGAAUCUAAUGAUGUUUCCCAAAGGCAAAGUUAUACUUGGAUUUUGAUUUUGAUUUUAAAAUUUUGUGGUAGCUUGUCUAUUUAAGGUUAUGAAAAAAGAAUGCUAAACUCAUAGUUAGCUUCAGUUUCUAGAGCAUCAGCUUCACCUGAUUGGUGUUAGCUUUUCAUCUUAACGGAAGCAGGAGUUAUGACUAUGUUUCUUGCUGUUUUCUUUUGUUACUUUUUGUGAGAGAACGCAUCUUGGAAGAUGUAUGUUUAUGUUUAGCUUUUCAUAGAACCACAAUGUGUUUGAGAAAACCAUAUCUGAUUUUGUAGCAAAUUACCAAAACUAAAAAUCCUGAAAUUUCCUUCUGGUUUGAAUCGUCAAAGUAGAUUUCUUUACUCGGGGUCAAUGAUGAAAAUUCACUCAAUUAUCACUAAUAUAUGAUUAUGACCUUUCUUGGAUAUUAUUUACUUUUCAUGUUGGUUUUGUUUGUGCAGGAGGAUUUCCUAACUGACCAUGUUCAGAAACCUGAAAUUACUGAUUAUGCUAUCAUAAUUUAAGUCAUCUUCGGGUGCAAUGGAGAGUGAUUGCCUUACGGGUUCUUUUCGGCCCUGCAUAGACAAUGAAAUCAUGCAUAAAGCUUGGAGAUUAAUUCGAUGACGCAUCCCUGUUGCUUAUCCAACUCAAUUGAGUCAAGCUGAUCUUUUACACCGAGUUCUACCCGGAUAACAUACAUGUGUAAAAUGCAUAGCAACAGUAUGUCAAAAAUUGCUUCCCGAUUUAGAGUGAGUAAAGUUAUUGGGGGCUUACAAGCUGUAAUCUUUGAUGUUUGAAUGCGCCUUUGAGUUUGACGUAUCAAACUUGGAUAUUGCGGAGUAAUGAAUUAUGUUCCCUAUUUUUAUUUUCUUUUUCCUUCGAAAGGUCAUUGAUCUUCUUGCUUCUUUUUUCUGGAUAAUCAACCAUCUGAGAGUUCUUACCUUCUAAUAAUCUCCUUAGAAAAUUUUAUUUAGUCACUUCAAUGCAAAAGACAUAUGGCCUGAUAUGCACUCGACUUAACAAUAAUGAUAUCACAGAACAAUCCAUAAGGAAAUAAUAUUGCUCAAGAAGAAACCCCGCAUGCUCUCUUUGACAAUUUUUCCUUUUUCUAAAAUUUAUUUGCAUUUCCAUCAUAUGGUGAAGGGUGUAUUUCUAAUUUUUGUUUUCGUACAUCCCAAAGCAGGAAAAGAAAUUAAAGGACUUUGCUAUAGAUAAGUUUAUUAGGAUAGAAAAGAACAGAGAUGUGAAAAAAUGAAAAGAAGAGAAAAUGAGAGGAUAGAUUUUGACUUUUUAAAUAGUUUAUGAGUGCACGCGGCACAUUCCGUUACUCAAUUGGAAGGAAUAUGUCAAUUGUCCACUUUUAUGCAAAAUUGGAUAGAUGAGGGAUCAAAUUUACUGUUUGAAAUAGAUUGAGAUCCAGUUCCGUGCAUGGGUCCGUGCAUGGGUAAUACAUUGAGGAUUACAAUUACAAUUCUCCCUUAAAUAAAUUCUCUCCUAAAAUUUUCUAAUAAGAAAUUCUUCUCUUCUAGGAUCUCCUGGUGAGAGUUUCUUUUCUCCUAAAUUAUUCUAAUAAGAGUUUUAUUCUCUUCUGAAUUUUUUCUUGUGAGAGUUUUUUAGGUUUUUAUCUUUGCUAAAUUUGAGAUUUUAUAGAUCUAAAAUCUAGUUUUCCAUAUCCGCAAUUUCUCCAUUAUUGUCAGAUCUAAAUUUCUCUUUGGAUUUGAAUCAGUUUUAAUCCAUUAUUGUUAGAUAUAAAUUUUUCUUUGGACUUGAAUCAGUUUUAAUCAGAUAUGAUUGUCAAUAGACAUGCGCUUAUAUAUUGGAAUACAGUGAUUCAUCCGGAUGGAAGAUAUAUAGAAGCAUUAAUGUUAUUUUUAUUUGUAUUAUUUUCUUAAAUCUGUUAUAUCUAUUGAUUUUAGAUCUACAUGUAUCUGUGUCAUAUUUGUUUGAUGUAUUUUCUACCAUUAGUACAGAUUUAUUUGAAUGAAAUGAUCUUUUUUAUAUAAAAAAAAUUUCAGCAUUACUAAGGUAAUUGUAUUGUGUUUAAUCAACCUGUUUAUUUGCUUUUUCGUCUUUCACAUCUACUAACAUUUAUCAUUGCAAUCAUAUUUUACUUGUAAUAACGUGUAAAACAAAACCAUCGUAGUUAGCAAUUACUCCACUUCAUAUUUUAGUCCUUUUCAUGGUUUUACCCAAUUACUCAUAGUCAACACUGGUAGAGUUAGGCAUUAAUUUUAAAAAAUGUAUCAAGUUGUAUUCCGUUUUCUCUAUUGUCCAAUAAAAUGUCCUCACUAAUUAGUUUUCUUUUUCCAAUUCACUAUUAUCUGCGUAAAUGAAAAUAAUAUUAUUCGUCGUGGAAUCACAUUUUUUUAAGUGUAUUUAUGUUCUAUCAAUAUUCAGUGACAAAUACAAAUUUACAUCCAUUUGUCUCUUCUUUCAUUGUUAAUAUUCAAUAUGCGUCGUUCAAUCUCCAAUGCGCAAAUUUGAUAAAAUUAUAUAUUAUUUUAUUUCUUAUAUUCACUGAAUUAUAAACUGCCAAAUUUCUAAUAUAUUCUCUAUGUCUUCCAAUUCAAGAAAACCAUACCAUUUCUCCGAAAUACAAAGUUAUAUAUCAAUUAACAAUGUUUAACAGACACCCCAUUUAUGCAUUUUCCCUUAAAGGCUCUUCACUUAUUACACCUUUUUUAAUCUUACACUUUACUGCAAUGGCAUGACACGUUAUGAUGUUUCAUACAAUGACCCAAUUCAUUUUUAUCAACAAGAUGUGGGCAACAACUAUGCACUCGUAACUUUUGCCUAGCAAAAUGAACAUUGUAUAAUGUAAAGGGCUAUAUUACCAUUAUAUAUAUAUAUAUAUAUAUAUAUAUAUAUAUGUGUGUGUGUGUGUGUGUGUGUGUGUGUGUGUGUGUGUAGAACUCAAAUUUUGAAUGAUUUCUAAUAGUGCCAACACCUGCAAUUAAAAUCUUAUAAAUUCUCUUAAACUCUCUUGACUCUUAUAGAUACUCUUAACAAGAUUUAUCAACUAAUGUUUUAUUUAUAACCUCCUACACUUAUCGUGUAAGAAAUCACUUACACAAAAAAUUACCAAAUAAAGUAUAAAUUCCUAAAUUACGAUAACUACUAAAAACCUGAUUCUAAAUAAAACUACUAAAUAAUUAGAUAAAAACUUGUAGUCUUGAUUCAUUUGCCAGCAAAUCAAUCAUAUAGUAUUUGUUAGCUACUAAUUUUUUCAACCCAUAUCAAGUCUUUUACGUGCCACCAAUAAUAGCUCUUUUAUCGGCAUUGACCUAUUACCCAAUUUGAACUUCAUCCCUGCAAGAAGAACGACGAUCUAAUUUGGACAACAAAGAGCUCGGGGUGCUUGGGGGGAACCAGAAGAGAUGGGACCUUAUGGCCCUGCUCGCCAACUCAGUUGUCUUAGAGUUAAUUGCAAGAAAAUCUCGUCCAAAACGUGCACAUCGUGUUUUGCUUUGCCAUGUAAUCUUCUUCUUCUUCUUCUUCUUCUUCUUCUUCUUUUUUUUUUUUUUUUGUUUUUGCUUUGCUAUCUAACCUGAUUGUUCUGACACCAGAAAUAUUUGUAAAUUUAUUUCUUGCCCAUUUGAACAAACUUGAAAAUAUAAAAAAUGACCUCUUUUAGGGUCCGUUUGGCUGGGAGUAAAAUGUUUUCCUUGGGAAAAUAUUUUCCAUGGAAGUAAUUUUUCAGGAAAAUCAUUUCCCUUUCAUCAUUUUCAGGUGUUUGGUUAGCCUAUUGAAAAUAUUUUUUUACUUCAUUUUCUGGUGUUUGUUUAACUUUUGAAAUAUUUUCCAACUUUGAAAUAUUUUCACUUUUACCUCUGUCUUUACUUUCUACACAUUAUAACCACAUACUUCUUCCCAUGCAAAAUAAAAAAAUAUUUAUCUCAUUUUUUAACUUUAAAAAAACUUAAAGAAAUGUAUAUAUGGAUAAAAAAUUUCUCCUUAAGCAAUAAACAAAUUGCUAACCAUUCAUUGUCAAAUAUCAAUCACACGAAUGCUUAUUGUGACAUAUAUCUUACAGUCUCACUGCUAAAAGUUUCUCUAGAAAAGAAUGCCCCUAUUAUACAUAAUUAAUUGCUAGAAUAAGGUGAGUAGGGUGAGGCCUUUUUUUUUAUUUUUUAUUUUGAGCAUACUAUGGGCCUGUUUGAAACCUUGAUUUUUUACCAAGUUUGUAUAAAACUAAUUUUUUAACAACUUUUGCUACAGGAAUCCCAAAAAACUUAUCAAAGUUUUUAACCUACACACUUCAAAAAUACAUAAAAAACUUUCCCUUCAACUUUUCUUCUUUUUCCUCCCCCACCCAACCCACCACGUCCUUCGUUGCCGGCCACCACCUCCACCACCGCUGCCGCCGGCUAGGGGUGGCAAUUUUCGACACGACCUGAAAACACGACACGAAUCUAACACGAAAUUAAUGGGUUUGGGUUGAGGUUUCGGGAAUUCAGGUCAGAAUCGGGUUGAACCCGAAAAGAAAACAGGUCGAUUUCGGGUCAACCCGUGGUGACCCGAUAUGACCCGUUUAUGAAUUAAAAAUAAUUUAAUAAACAUAAAAAUAAUUUUAUCUGACUAAGCUAAGUUAUUCUUUUUUUCAAACGCAUUAAUUACUUAAUCCUAAAUGAAUUUAUUUAAUUUGUGUGAAGUUGAAAUUAUUAUAUUUGAACAAAUAAUAUAUUAUAUUAUUUUUUACUUUUAUACUGUUUUAAUUUAUUUUAUAUUUUGUUUGGGAUAAAACACUUUUACGGUGUUUAAUUUAUUUUAGAUUUGGCUUGAAAUUAUUUAUUUAAAUUUUUAUUACUUGAUUAUGUAAUUAGUUUUGUGAGAAAUUAAUUUUAUUAGAAAUUACAGUGAUAAAUUAAUAAAUUAAAAUUAAAUUUCGGGUCGACCUGUCAACCUGAAAUUUUCGGGUUCGGGUCAAUAUACCUGACCCGUCACCGGUUGGCGGGUUGGGUUCGGGUCAAUAGAUUUUUUGACGGGUCGGGUCAAACCCAACCCGCCAACCUGAUUUGGACCCGAAUUGCCACCCCUACCGCCGGCGGUCACUAUUCCGACAGCUAGUUCUGGCCUUCCUCUUUUUUUUUUCUCUCUCCCUCACCCCCUCUGCUCCUCUCCCCUCCCCCUUUUGACCGAUCUAUUGGUGCUCUUUUUCUUUUUUUUUUUUUCUUUCUCUCUCCCCCCUCCCUUCUUCGCCUCUGCCUCCCCCACCACCCUCCCCUUCCCCCUUUGACCGAUCUGGUCGCUCGACCAGAUUGCAAAGGGGGAGAGGAAGGGGGUUGCGAUCUGGUCAGCUAGGGGAGGGGGAAGGUAGCGGGGGAGGGAAGGGGAGGGGUAGCGGGGGAAGGAAGGGGAAGGGGAGAGGGAGAGGGAAAAGAGGGAUGGCGGGGAAGGUAGAGAGAGGGGUGGUAGGGGAGGGAGAGGGGAAGAGAAAAAAAGCAAAAAAAAAAAAGAAAAAAGAAUCACUUGUUAGUUGCUGCCAUGGAAGUCUCGGGAGAGAGAGCAGGGGAGGGAAAGGGGAGAGAGAAGAAGUGGGGAGGGAGGAAGGAAAAGAAAAAAGAAAGAAAAAAAAAUUCAUCUUACAAACACCCAAAGUUUUUCUACGACUUCUACAGUGAUCUACAUUAAAGUUUUAUACAAACACCCAAAAAACUCACCUUUUAAAUAGUCCCGAUCUUUGAAAGUUUGACAGAUACCUUUGUAGACACCAAAAUUUUAAUAAUCCCUUCUUAUUAUUUAUUUCAUUUUUAUUUUUACCUUUUUAUUCUCAUUUUUAAGGAAAUUUUAUUUAUUUGUUUGGUUAUGCAGGAAAAGAAAGAGAAGGCAGAAAAGAAAAGAAAAAAUAAAAAAAAAGGGAGGAUGCCUCACGCGCGCGUGCGCAUCAUCUUCCUGGUUUCGUACAGAAGCCAGGAACAAGUCUCAGGAAUUGCAGCCGGCCAUUUGAUCCAUUUCCACUCGUUUCUAUUGCAUUUUUUUCCCUCCAAGCCCUUCGGUACAAUGCCAACUCAUCCUAGUUGGAAUCUAUCAAGAAAUAUCCAGAUCAAAAGCCACCCGAUGGCUUCAAAAAUGCCACAAAAAAAAACCCAUUUCAUCUGCACCAUUGAAGCAAGGGUUUGGGAGGUGUUUUGUGCCUAUAAAAGGCUCAUAAACGCAGCCCUAAAGAAAGAGAACAAGGGAUAGGUGGCUGAAGGAAGAAAAAAACAGAAAAGAUAGAGAAACCAGAGAGAAGAAAGGAAAGAAAAUUUUCUGGAAAAUUCGAUACCGGGUUGAUCGAGCAGCCAUCUUUGGAUGUCAUUUUCUCUUUCUUUUUAGUUAUUUUUUCAUAUUAAUACUCUAUGGAGGUAGAUAAAGAAUUUUCGUGUUGAAGGUCUCUGGAGAAAACAACUUUAAAGCCAUGAAAUCCGACGCCAAAGUUGGAAGAAAACCAGCCCUGGUUCCGUCGUAAUUUUGUUGAAAAUUUUUCAAUCCGCUUCCACUAGCAUUUUCCGGGUUCCAGUUUGUUUCUAGAGCUUCACAAGGUAUUUUUAUAACCUCUAUUAGUUUGAUUCGACACUAAACUAAGAUAUUUGCACGAGUUUAUGGGAUUUUGCAUUUUUGUUGAUUUUUGGUUGAGAUUCCUUAUGUCUUGGAAAGCUGUUCUUUUGAUGGUUUAAAAAUUAGCUAAAAAAUAGCGUAGAAGAUGACUUGAUGUUUGCUUUUGAUAGAGUGGCCGAAUAACUUGUAGUUUUUGGUGUUUCCAUGGUUGGUUCCGUCGAAGUCAGUUUCAUGGCUUCUUUCUUGCAUUAUUAUCAUAUUUGCGCCUAUUUGAUCUUCAAAAAGGCUUUGUAUCGGAGUUUUUGGUUGUGUUAAUGAGUGGUAUAUUCUGUUGGAUUUUAGUUCACAAAUCAAUGGUUUUGUUUGAGCUCAUGCAUGAUUUUCCACGUAUAAAGCUGAUACUUUGCGAAGAAAAGUUGCAGAAGAUGAAAUGAAGAAGAAAGCCUCGGUUCUGAUUUGCAUGAAACUUUUAAAAACUACAUUUCGACCCCUAAAUUUUCACCUAAUUUCACUAUGACCUAAAAACUUCUACAAAUGAACCAUCUUGACCCCUUUUAAAUUUUAAUCAUCUUUUACAUAUUUUAAACAUGUUUGUGGGCGAAAUAAUUCUGGGUUUUAAGACAUUAUUAGGAUUAAAUAAUUUUUUUAGUUGAUUUAUUAUCCUAUUAGGUUUUGGUAAAAUAAGUGUGGUUUUGGGUUAAGGGUUAUUGUUUGGGUUUUGGUUAUGAAUUUUAGUUAUUUUGAUUGGGUUUUUUUUCGUUUGGGUUUCUUCGAGCAAAACUAUGGGUUGGCUUGUGUAUUCUGCCUCGGACUUUCGCUGGGCUUGGGGAGGUUUCAGCCCAACUAAAGCAAAAGAAAAUGAAAGAUAGCCCAAUGGCCCAAUUCCUUAAGAAACACUGAGAAUUGCAAUAUGGUCCCUGUACUCUUGUAUAAUUUUGUUUUGGCCCUAAAAACUUUAGUAUUCUUUUAAUUAGGUCUUUAAUUUAAUUGUGCUUUGGUACCUAAAUUUUUUUCUUUCAUUUUGACCUCUAUUUUUUGUAAUAAUUGAAUUUAACCCCAAAAAUUUCUUAAUUUUUGUAAUUAGGUCCCUAAUAGUUUUGAUUUCUUAAAUAUAAUUUACUUUUCUUCUUUAAUUAUAGAUUAUACUUCAUUUAAAUACUUUGAUUGGUAGAUUUCAUGAUAAUUUCCAUUUAUUUAUAAUUAAAUUAGUGUCUUAAUCAUUUUGUUCGUUUUGGAGUAUAAGUAGGGCAAAUUUCACCCUAUUUAAUCACCACUUCACGAGAGGUAACCUCUUUUAUUAUUUUAAACUCUUUCAUGUGCUCCAAUGUGUUUUUAUGUGUAAUUGCAGGUUUUGAAUGUUUUUUCUUUUAAUUAGUCAUUCUUAUUCAUUUUUAAGUUUUAUUUGUUUUAUUUAAUUUUGAUGAUUAUCUGAGAGGCAUUAAAAUGCCAAGUUGUAACAGAUAGGUGCUCAAGACAUGUAUUUUGCUAGUUUAUGCAAUAGAUAGGUUCUAAUUUUUGUUUAAAAUGUAUUUAGUUAGAUGAAUAUAAUAAUUAGGUUAUUUUUUUUUUGAAUUCCCCUUUAGAUUGUAGUUAGGGUCCGAAUGUAAUAGUUAGGCUUUUAUUUGCAUUUAUUUGUUUGGGUGCUUGCAUGCUUGUGUGUUUAUGUGUUUACUCAUUUUCAUUUGGGUUUUGUAUCUAGAAAUUAUGAUUAUGUGUUAUGUGCUCUAUGUGCAUUAUGUGUUUAUUUGUUUUAAUUAUGCUUUAUAUGAUUUAUUUAAUUAUAAUAAAUGCAUGACGUCACCACAUCAGUCCAACGCUAAUUGUGACCUUCCUUCGCGAUUUCUCACUAGUCCCACGCUAGUGAGAACUUAUAGACAUGGGUUAGUUAUUUAGUCCAAUGCGAGACUCUUAGGGACCGUCCACGCACUAUAUCAUGUUUUUGUGACAAUCACUACAUUUCAUGCAUAUUUUCUACUUUUUAGAAUCCCUACCAUUUGGCAUGAUAUUUCCUCUAUAUGUAUAUUCCUUAUCCCUAUGUGCGAAAUAGAACAUUUAGACUUGCGUUUCAUUUAAGAAACUUAGAAAUAUGUGAGAUCAUUUGCUUGAUUAGAUUAGGAGAGCACCCCUUCAAAUAUGGGAAAUGAACAAGUAUAGCUACUUAGUCUUAGCACGCUCGUGUCUCCUCUAUAAGAAAAAAAAUUGAGUUACAAAUCUUAGUCCCCCGUACUCAUUAUCAUGCAUUCCUUUAGCUCAUGUAUAUUUGUAUAUUAUUAUUUUUCUUUCUUUUCUUCGAGUCUCAUCUUUUGCAUAUUCGUAACCUUUUCAAAGAGUCACUCUUGGGCGUCUCAAUUAAUGCGCUUUGCGCCAAUUAAAUUUUGAAGAGAUAUUUCGACCAUCCCGAUAUCCAUUAGGUCUAGAUUUGCAUAGAUAUAGUAACAUAUAAAUGUGAUAAGUUUUAUAGGUUAAAUUAAAAAAUUUUUAACUAAAUCACACAACUAACCUUGACUAGAUUGAAAGGGUGUCAUAGAUCAAAUCUUUGUCUUCUCUUUCUUCAAUCGUGACUCCUGAACUUUUUUCUUUUGUUUUCAAAGACGUGGAGUCGUUUAAAGAGGGUUUUACCUAUUUUUUUAUUAAAAAAAUAUUUUUGGGUGAUUUGGUACACCUUAACUCAAUAUCAAGUGACGACUCCUAUUUUUUUAAACUAUUAUUUUGGGCCAAAAUCGUCGCACUUUUAAAGUCCCAUGUUAGGCUCUUUUUCUGCAUUUAUUCUCUAAAAAUCAAAAACUCAUUUUUACUCAAAAUUAAUCAAAAAUUCAUUUUUUAUAACACGUAAUUUUAUUUUUCAAAAAAAUGGGGCACGACAACCUUUAUCAGGCGGGACACAUACGUUUAGAAAAACAACUUUAGUAAGUUUGGAAGCGAAGUUGUUUUUUAUAAGAUGAGUGAAAAUCUUUUACACAGUAAAAUAUUUUCAGUAAUUUUGUGCAACCAAACAUGGGAAAUUAGGAAAUUAUUUUUCUCGAAAAGAUUUUCAACCGAACACAAACAGACCCUUAAUGCAGUAUCAAUUACUUCUGGAAAGCAACUUUGCUAUAUAAUGCAACCACCGAUACCCCAAGCACUAUUUAUUUGACCAAAUAACAAUCUUUUUUCUACACAUGCUUCAUGUCAUGGAAAAGUCUGCAAUAACGAUCGUUAUGAUAACGAAACUGUUUUUACCUGAUAUAACAGGUAGAAACAAUUUUAGUGACCAUUUGAUUACCUAUUGGACUGGUCACCUAAAUAAGAUAGUACCUAAAAAUUUGAUUAGUAAGUUUUACAUAAAAAAUAGUAAGUUAACUCGAUAAAUUAGUAACUUUUAUGUCUCAACAAGUAAAUUGGAAUAAAUAUGGAACUUACUUUUUUUUUAAAAUAAAUUACUACUCGAUAUCCAAAACUUACUUUUUGGAGAGUAAGUUUAGUUCAAGUAAUACUAAGUUUUUAUAGAUUAAUAGUAAAUAUUGUUGAUAGAAUAGUAAAUUUAGUUAGUGGUCAAAACCUACUAGUUUGUGGUAUAAAUUUACUAUUUUACUUAAAAAACUUAUAUGAAACAAGUAUUAGGAAGUUCAUUUGAAGUAAUGCUAAAAUUUUUUAUUAAUGAUUAAAACUUAGUAUUAUAGUUAGUAAUUACUCAUAAUGUAAAUAUAUGAUACACAAUUGUACGUAACAUUUAUAAAUGUUAUAUUGUUUAAGCAUUUUAACUAUACUAUGAAAACUAUUUUUUUUUGCACAUGACCUUUAAAAUAUGUAAGAAUAAUUUGUCAUAUUAUAAAUUUUGAAUUAUUUUUGAAUUUGUGAAAGGUUAGAAAGUUUGGAUGACAAUAACAACAAAUCUUUCAAGUUAUAUAUAGAAUUGCACUUAUCUAUACAUCACAAUUUUCAUAUAUUAAUACCUAUGAAUAUAAUAAAAUGGUAAAGUUUUAAUAAAUUUAUUUACUGGGUCACAAGUAUAAAAGUUAAAGUUGUAUUAUAAUAACAACAAAUCUUUCGAGUUGCAUAUAAAAUAGCACUUACUUAUACAACACAAUUUUCAUAUAUUAAUGCCUAUGAAUUUAAUAAAAUGGUAAGAUUUUAAUAAAUUUAUUUUCUGGGUCACAAGUAUAAUAAUUAAUGUUGUGUUAACAUAGCAUAAUUUUUGAAAAUUAUAAUAAAAUUACCCAUAUGUUAAGUUUUGUGACUUUCAAACAUACUUUGUAUCAUUUACAUUAUGGAUUUGUAUCCAUAUUUUUCUAUCAAACUCUUUUUCAUUGGCAAAUGGUAUAUAAAUUAUUAUAAAAUGUCAUUUUAUAAUAAUCAUAAUUUUUUAUAGAUGAAUGUUAUGCAAACUGUUAAAAUUAUCAAUUCACAAAUGGCUAAAUCUUACUACUUAUGGCAUAUAUUAGUCUAAUUGACUAAAAAAAUACUGUAAUCAUGUAUACGUUGAUUGUUGAAUUGAAAUUUCGUUUAUUACUAGUACAAGUUCUUCUAAUCAAAGCAAAAUAAAAUCAAAUAUCUUUCCCUUUUGUAUGUAGUAGUUAUGUUUAGUAGAAAAUUAUUAAACCAUUUUUACAAUACAUAAUUUCUCCUAAAAUUAGUAAUAUUUUCCAUGACCUCUAACCUUAUCAAUAAUACUAACGACCGACAUGUAGAUAAUCUUAAAAGCAAAAGCCAUCAUUAUGACAAAAAAAGAAUAUUUUCAUGCUGAAUAAACAAAAUUGUAAUUCUAUAUAGAAUCGAAGAAAUUCAUCAUGAAUGAAAAUGAAUUGCAAAGUUAUUACAUUUCUAAUUUCAUAUGUAUCUAGAAUUUCACGCAGCAUUACUUUAGAGGAACUUUCCUUUUUCACACUAAGGAACCAAUCUCAAUCUCUUCGUCUCUUUUAUUUUUUCUUUAACCAUUAAAAUACUAAAUAAAUUUAAUUCCAUUUCAAGCUCUAGUUAAUUGUAUACUAAUAUUUUACACAACAAUCAAUUGAGCACCAAUUUCCUUUUUUUAAGUAGCUAUUAUUUAUUUUAUUACUUUGGUUAAAUAUUUACAUAUAAAAUAAUAACAAUAGAAUGCCAAUCCUCGGAUCAAUGAAACUUCAAUUAUUGUUAAUAAAAAUAAUUUUACAUUGAUAAAAAUUAGUCUACAGAAUGAAAAGUCAAUGGCAACAAUUGCUAAAAUAUAGCAAUUUUUAAUUGUGGGAAAAUAAACAACUAAGUUCCCAAAAUAUUUCACUUUUAUUGUUUAAAAAAUCUCAACUUGUUAACUAAAUUCAAAAUAAUUCUAUUGUCAAAAAUAUUUCUCCUCAAAUUAACUUUAAUGAUUAGAGAUGAGAUACAAAUAUGGCAAAAUAUCGCUCAUACGUGUGUCAUGGAUAUUUGAGACUUUUAGUAAAAAACUUUUUGUUGUUAAAAUAACAUUGUAUCAUAGUGUACUAAUUAUUUUAGAACCAUUUUUAUACGUGAACUAAAUUUAAUUUAAAUUAUACAAUAUAUUAUAUAUGCAUGUGAUUUUCAUUUAUAAUUGUUGGAUCCUAUUUUUUAUGAACAAUCUCCCAAGGAAAAAAGUUCAGAUCAUACUGAUUUUCUUAUAUUAAUUGUUAUACUAAUUUUGUCAUUUUUAUUGUUAUAUUAUUUCUCAUUUUGUUUGGGCUUUAGCUCUUAUUAUUUCUUGUGUCCCAGGUCUAAAUUCAUUAAAACUUUAUCAUCUUAUUAUAUUCAUAAGUGUUAAAUUAUAAAAAUUGUGAUAUAUAAAUAAGUGAUAUUCUAUAUAUAACUAGGAAGAUUUGUUAUUAUUGUUAUUCAAACUUUUCAGAAAUUGAAAAUGAUUAAAAACUUAUAAUACGACAAAAUUUUAUUACAUAUUUUACGAGACUAUGUGAAAAGUCAAAUUAUUUUUCAUAGUAUUUUAAAAUAUAUAAAUUCAAAAUUUUUUUAAAUUAUACUUAUAAUCAUGUAUUAUACAGGUAUAUUACGAGUACUUACUAACUAAGGUAAUAUGUAUUAAUCAUUAAUAAAACAUCUUAUCGUUAUUUCAAAUAAAUUUCCUAAUACUAGUUUGAAAUAUGUUUUAAAGUAAAAUAGUACAUGUGUCCCAUAAUCAAUAAGUUUUGAUUAUUAAUCAAAUUUACCAUAUUAUCAGUAAGAAUUACUAUUUAUGUAUAAAAACUUACUAUUACUUGAAUUAAACUUACUCUCUAAAAAGUAAGUUUGGGAUAUAAAGUAGUAAUUUAUUUAUUUAAAAAGUAAGUUUAAUAUUUAUUCAAAUUUACUUUUUGAAGUAUAAAAGUUACUAAUUUAUUACUGUUAACUUACUAUUUUAGAUGAAAAACUUACUUUCUUAUUUUUAAGUGUUAUUCUAUUUAGAUGGAUAGAUCCAUCAAGUAAUCAAAUGGUCGCUAAAAGUGCAACAACCUGUUAUAUCAGGUAAAAAAUUAUUUCGUUACCAUAAUUAUCGUUACUAAAACAUUGUACUCGUGUCAUAAUCAUCGAGCUUUACAUGAAUUGUUCAUCAAAAUUGGUCUCCCAACUUUGAUCUUAUCAUCUCAUUCUACCAUUUAAUGCGACAGCGAAGAAAGUGAAACUAUACCAUAAAUCUGCCCGAAUACCAUCAAAUAAAUAGCCUACAUGAAUGUGUUAUGUACUAUAAUCUUUUUCCUACUGCAGCUUGAUGAAAAUGGGAAAUAGUUUUACCCUUCAACUCGUAUAGACACUGAACAUACACAAUUUUUUUUUUUUUACUGCAGUUUCUACAUUGAUCUCCUUUUUCUAAUAUUAAGUAACACGAUGAAUUAAUCUCUUAAACUUCCAAAUUGCGGUAAUUACAGACAGAUGUUUGCCAACUUACAACUACAGCUUUGCCAAAUUUCUCAAGACAAAGAAAAAUAUUUUUAAGUAGGCAUCUAUGUGCAAUGUAGGUAUGAAACCAGAGAAUUCUAGUAGGGUUAAUUAGAAAAAUCCAGAACUAUUCAGGCGAUUCAUAGAAUUAUACUUAUUAAAACAUGUCCUAAUAAUUAUAGUGGAAGCAAUUUAAAAAAAAUUAAUGUUGGGAACAAAUUAAGCUAAAUAAAAUAAUCAUUAUCUUUGUCAUACCUAACAAUUUCAUUCAAAAAUAAUUAUUGUCUUUUUCAUACUUAACAAUUUCAAGCUAAUUAAAUCACAGGUGUUUUUCUAAAGAAAAAAAGAUAGCAAGACAAAAUUGUAUAGUUUAGCUUAUUAAACAUCCGGUUUUAGAUAUUUAUCAAACAUUAUAGAUAGAUUUAUUAUUAAGAUUCAGAUAUUCAUAUAUUUCUUUUUAUUAGUUAAAAUUUAGCAAAUUAAUUGUUUCAAUAUUCAGUUUCAGAAUUCAGAUUCAAUUUUAUCAAAUAGGACCUUAGUGUGAACUCUUAAUUGUAAUUGAAUUUGAUAUUUUAAAAUUGACAUUUAAUACAAACUUUUAUGUUUAACUAAAUUUGAUUUUUUCAAAGCCACAAUUAAUACAAAAUCUCAAAUUUAACUAAAUUUGAUUUCUUGUCAAUCACAUUUAGUACAAGACAAAGACAAAGAAACGGUAAAAUGGGAUUUAUAUUACUUACUCGAAAUGAACUUUUUUUGUUUUAAGAAAAAUACAAAGAAAUUAAUGUUAAAAGAUUAACUCCUUUUCAUAAAUUUUUGUCAAAAAGUACAUAGGGAAAUGGAUGGAUUGGGUGAUUCGAAGAAGGACGUGUAAGUGAGAGAUUUUGGUUUUAAGCUUCCCACUUACGCUAUUAAAAUAUAUAAAUUCAAAGUGUAUGUAAUUAGACUAAUUUUUGGGGAUUAUUUAUUCUAACAUGGUCGACAUUAUUGAUGAAAUAUGGCAUCAGCAGAACCUAACACUUUGGAAUUCAUCUGUCCCAGAAUUUCAAAUGGUAACAUUUUUCCUUAAAAUUGGAAUAUUUAUUUUAGGGAGGUAAGAGCAUCCGGUGGAAUUGAAAUAUGAAUUUAGCUAACGGGUGUGCAAUUGGCCCACGUUGAAAUAUCAGCUUGGCUAACCGGUGUUCUAAUGGCCUUCACUAAGUGGGGCGUUAGGCAUUAAUUUUUGAAAAAAUGUAAUUAAUUUGAAAAAUUAUAUAAAUUCAGGGGAUAUAAUAAUUGUGAUUGUGUGAAUUUAUAUGGUAAGUUAGAUGUAAUUUAGGUACAUUAACAAAUAUCCACCUAGAUGGGAACCUUCACAAAAAUCCCAAGGCAUUGUUGUUUUGAGAGAAGGGCAGGGAAAGGAAAGCAAACGGAAAUGGAGGGAUAAAGUUUUUAAAUUUUGGAUUAGUUUUUGAGGAGAGAAAGAAAAGGAUUUGGAGGGAAAGGGAGGGAUAAAAUUAGUUAUUUUUUAUCAACCUGUUUCAUGUCCAAAUGUGGGCAAAACAAAGGGAAACGACACCAAAUUAAUGAAAAUUUCAAAAUGUUCUAAAAACCUAUCAUGUAUUUAUAAAUUAAAUUUUAAAUUAUGGAAAAAAAUAUAAUUGAUGCAUGAUAGUUUUCUUUCCUUUCCUCUCGUAAUCCAAACAAAAUAGACAGACUUAGAUUUCUUCUACUCCCCUUUCUUUUCUUUUCCACUAGAGUCUUCUCCUUUCCUUUCCUUUCUUUCAAUCCAAACGGUGCCUAAAAGAAAAUACAAGAUGGUGCGACUAAAAGUUCAUACCAUUCCUAUGGACUGUCAAUUGCAUCAAAACACGAACUUUGUCUAUAUAAUGUGCACACUUUGUGACUGAUUUCUGUCGAGUGCUUAGCCCAUGAUUGUUAGUGUUGCUUGUUGGAUAGUUUACUCUCAGUAAAAUACUUUGAGAUUUUAGGCCAUAGUAUAUACUUAUGGCUUAUAAGGUGCAUUACUAAGACAAAAAAUACCAAUCAGCAACAACGGUAAUAUUGGGUUUAAAUGAUACAAUACACUAGGAUAAUGUGCAUUUUACCGACUUCAUGAAUGUGAAGAACUAAAUAUUAUGUAUUAAUUAUUUGUUUUUUUUUCCGGAUAUAUUUGGCUUCAAUUAGCGCUCAAACUCGAGAUCUCACAAGUAGACAAAGAAACCAUAUUUUUUAGGUAUGGUUUCUCUUUAUUGCUAGAGUUGGUAUCAAAUGUACUUAGGAGACUGAGAUACCUUAAACAACCUUAAGCCAGGGCUAUGAGCUAUAAAACAAGAAGAGGAUGAACUACUAGAAGAAGAAUAUGGGCAUAGUAGGGCUGUCAAAUAAAUUGAGUUGCUCGCAAAUAGUUUGAGUCAAAACUCGAUUCAAGUUAGGUCAACAUCGAACUCGAAUCGAGUUCGAGUUAACUGAGUUGAACUUGAGAUCAAAGAUACUUAACUCGUUAGUUCGCAAAUCGACUCGAUUUUAUAUAUUUAUAUUUAUAUUUUUUAUUUUAAUAGUAAAAUUACAUAUAUCCUUAAUAUUUUAUUAUUUGUUAAGAAACAUUACUAUUUUAUUCAUUUUUAAAAAUAUAAAAUAAUUAUUUUUUAUUUUUUUAAACUCAAGCUUGAGCCCUACAAUAAGAACUCGUUGAUUUUGAGUAGGGGUGGCAAUUCGGGUCCAAAUCAGGUUGGCGGGUCGGGUUCGGGUCAACCCGCCAGAAAAUCUGUUGACCCGAACCCGACCCGCCAAACCGUAACGGGUCAGGUAUGCUGACCCGAACCCGAAAAUUUCAGGUUGACGGGUUGACCCGAAAUGACCCGAAACUUAAUUUUAAUUUAUUAAUUUAUCACUGUAAUUUCUAAUAAAAUCAAUUUCUCACAAAACUAAUUACAUAAUCAAGUAAUAAAAAUUUAAAUAAGUAAUUUCAAACCAAAUCUAAAAUAAAUUAAACACCGUAAAAGUGUUUUAUCCCAAACAAAAUAUAAAAUAAAUUAAAACAGUAUAAAAGUAAAAAAUAAUAUAAUAUAUUAUUUGUCCAAAUAUAAUAAUUUCAACUUCACACAAAUUAAAUAAAGUCAUUUAUGAUUAAGUAAUUAAUGCCUUUGAAAAAAAGAAUAACUUAGGUUAGUUAGAUAAAAUUAUAUUUAUAUUUAUUAAAUUAUUUUUAAUUUGUAAACGGGUCAUAUCGGGUCAUAUCGGGUCACCACGGGUUGACCCGAAAUCGACCUGUUUUCUUUUCGGAUUCAUCGGGUCCAACCCGAUUCUGACCCGAAUUCCCAAAACCUCAACCCAAACCCAUUAAUUUCGUGUUAGGUUCGUGUCGUGUUUUCAGGUCGUGUCGAAAAUUGCCACCCCUAAUUUUGAGUUUGAUAAAAUUAAAUCAAAACUCAACUCAAUUAAACAAAAAUUUGACUUGACUCAACUCGUUUACAAACCUAGAUAUAGAGUUACAAUAGUGACAGGUUGUCGAUGCCUGUGCAAUAAUAAAACCUGCUCAAACUAAAAGUAAUUUCUGUAGAUAACGGUAAGCAGGGUCGAAUCCACAGGGACUGGGAGUAAUUGUUCCUUUUCAAAUUCACAGUGACAAAGGGGAGUGUUUUUAUAUCAGGGGUGACAACUCAACUAAAAGUAAAAUAAUAAAAAUAAAAUAGCCAACUAGAAAUUAAAAAAACACAAUUUACUAAAAUCAAAGGAUCUAGCCAAGGAAUAACUUCAGCAAUGGUUCACCUAAUUGAUCAUUGAUAAGCAAAGGCAAUUCCAAUUAUUUACUAAUAAAUAGGUUAUAACUGCCAAACAAGCGAUGGCAGUCAGCCCCUCCUUACUGUGUCGGUGAUCAAGGUACGCUCGUUAAUCACUUCUUUAAUUGGAAGAACAAUCCUAGGUACGCCCAUAAGAUUUAAUUUCCCAAUUGCCUUACGUAUUAGAGGAGCCCUAUUCUAAUCAAAUAACGCACUACCAGGGUUAUUUCAGAUUAGCCCGCGUAUCCCCCUGACACGAAUCUAAUCGUGCCAGUUGUCACUAUUUCAAGACAAUUAAACAAUUACGAAUUUAAUGUCCUAAUUGACAGUAGAUUAUCCAAUCAAUUAACCAUCCGGAUCCAAGACAAUCAACUAAUUAAAUGACCAUAAGCAUAGCAAUCAAGGAAUAUGCGAAUACUAAUAAAUAAAAGAAAAAAAUUAAAUUAAAUCGAUCUUACAAUUUGUAGGCGAGCCAGAGCCUUCGUUAUUUCUUGACUAGAAUGAGGAAAUUAGUUCAUAUUUGAUGAACUGAGUCCACACAACAUUGAAGAGAAGCCAGCGGCCAUGGUCCGUUGAAAUUUAGCAGAAUCCAACUCGUCUCAAUAUAUUGAAUGAAUAGAAAAGCUACAAAAGUUCAUAGUUUUCACUCCGUCUGGCGCACAACAAUGAAGAAAAGACUACUAAAAGCAACUAAGGAAGAAAAGUCCAAGCCAUGAAUGGCUAAACUCCUGACAUUCGUAAGUCCCAAGAGCUACUAAGAAGCCAAAGAAAAGUCAAAGGCAGCAAGUCUUCAUUGUUCCUGCCAUGCGUUUCCGUUCUUUGGUCAAAAGUCUAAAAAGGAAGAAGAAAUCUAAUUCUAAGCUAGAAGCUGCUGCCCCUUCUUCUGCACCAUUUUCUCUUAUAUCCUCCUGUUCCGUGCGGCGGCUCCAGGGAGAAGAACACUUUUGGCACAAUGACCGAAAAGGGCUCAUGUCCCUACUUCCCAAAAAUGCCCUUUCGAGCCUUCUAUUUAAUUAAUUUCCCGAUGAUUGUCAAAUUGGCCUUAAUUGUAGUAUUUUCAUUCUACUCCCUGAAAUAAAUGUAAAUUACGAAAAGUGAGUAGAAUCCAAUAAUUAAUUCACAUCGGGUCAGGUAAUAGAAAAAAUUAAUAAUAAAAUAAAUGAUAAAAUUGCACCCUAUCAAAUAGCUCUAUGAAUUACCGUAAGACAUAGAGAAUAGAGAGAUUGGUACAUAUCCUCUUAAUAGUUAAUUCCCCUCGAGGCAACUCUGGUAUGAUUGAGCUAAAGCUCAUUGUGCCUAGCAAAGGGGGUGUAAGUACAAUGUUUUACUCUUUUUUCCCCUUUUUUUUUUUCUUUUCUUCAAAAGAGGAUUAAUACUGGUUCAAUUUACAUGGGUUCAAAUACAAUGUUUUACUUGUUCAAAUGGUUCUGCAAAAUUUAUUUUUCAAAACCAAUUAUGGCAAUCCAAGCUUUACUAGUUUUGGGCCCUAGAUUCAUUUUUCUCAGUUACGUAGACCACUGAACAGAACUCUUUUUUUUUCCCUAUUAUUUCAUUUUUCUUUUGUGUGAAAUUUUGACCACGAAAUAUAACUAGAAGCAUCUGGACCUGUCCAUAUUAAACACAUCUAUAGGAUGGAUUACUGAAUAAAAACGAGCUUACGUAUUUUGCUAAUGUGCCUUCUCUACAAAGUGGCACAAUUCAAAGGAAUUCUUACGCAGGUAGACAAACUAAAUUAAAAAAGAAAAAUUGAAAAGGGAGAUAUACCACCUUUUUAUUAAUUUUUUUAAUUUGGUAAGUCUUUUCUUUUUGAAAGGUUAGUUUGGUAAAUCAACUCAAGUAAUGAAGUAACAAAAGUAUAAGCUUUAGGGGUUAUAUAUUGAAAUCAGCAAAUUUACUGAAGAAAAAUAGGUCCUUGUGAGUACGAAGCAACCACUUGCUUCAGAAUCACAAUAAAAUCACAAAUAUUCAUUACUCACAAAUAAUAUUUAUUUCUGUUGUUCAACCUUUACAAACAUUGCUUGUGAAACUAACAAGCAUUAGCUUUAUAAUGACAUAGCACUUAAUAGCACACAUUUAUUCGUGCAUCCAUUUUAGAAGACACCAUAGCAACUUCAAACACGCUAAAUACUUAGAAGAUAUGUCUCUCUCUCUCUCUCUCUCUCUCUCUCUCUCUCUCUCUCUAUAUAUAUAUAUAUAUAGAUGGUUCAAGCAUUUUUGAUGUGAUGAGAUUCAAUGUCUUCAACCAUGUGAAGGAAAAAGUUGAGCAAGGUUCCUGGAUGUGGGGUAUCUUCCUUCAGCUUCUCAUAGUCGAGAGUCCAUGUAAUCAAACUUUCUUUGUCACCAAGAACAUCAACAUGGUAUAUGAUAGUGAAGGUCUUGUACAGCUCCAUGAGAUCUCCUUCAAUCAUCUUAAAUACGAUUGAUUUCUUUUCUUCAUUUAUGUCUUGAAUAAUCUGCUUUGCCACCCUAUCUUUCCCGUCUGUAAAAAUGAAAAGUAAAUCAAUUACAGACUCUCCAAUUCCUAGUCAACAUGCUGGUAAUCCAAAAACAAGGUUUGCGGAAUUCUUUCUUUUCGGUUUUUAGGGAUAGACAAUACUAUUCACACAACCAGGGAAGAAUUCUCGUUGUGAAACAUCUGGUAUAUCGCAUAAAAAACUUGAGAAAAGCAAAAGAAAAAAAAUUCUGUAGUAUUAAUUAAUUGAAUUCUUUACGAAGAUGGACUUCCUUAAUUAACCUCUGUAGUUUCCACAAUCAGAUUAUUGUCUUCGUAUAAAUACUAAUAAUAAUAUUAAUAAUACGGUUAAUAGUAAUAGAUCUAGUCCGUUUUUCAUUAAAACUUUUCCCGAGGCAGAUAUUAAGCUUUUAUCCUUUCUUUUUCCUGGCAAAUAAGUUAGAUAACUAAUUGUGUGCCAGUUCAAAGCAGGGAAAAACGGAUGGAGAGAGUUUAAAUCAACUUAGUCCAGAAGCUGACCAACACGCAACAAAAGCUAAAUGAAUAAAGGAAAAACAAGAAAAACUGCGGGGAAGAAAGAGCUUUGAAUAUUGAUUCCAUACCAUGGGUAUAAUGCCAGCAGAUUUUGGAUCCAACAGUUCCAAGAUCACCACCAAGCAAAGUAAACCCUUGAACUUUCUCAGGAGUCAUGGUGGCAAGAUGGUGUGGUCUUUUGCUGAAGACAUCAUGGAACACAUCUCCAGCAGGGCCAUGGAUGUUAGUUUGACCAAUCAUUUUACCUUUGAGCCCCAUUUUUUUUUCUGAGAAACUGAGAAGGAAAUGACCAAAUACUGCUGCAGCAAAAAAAUGCAAAGAAAUAUUGAAGGAAGUCUCAGUUGUGGUCUGCUAGACUAUCCCUCUGCUCCUUAUAUAGUAUAGAACUGAUGGGUGACUUCACCCCCCACCUCCACCCCCACCCUUUCUUUUUUUUAAUUGGGGUCUAUAAACCACGUAAGAGGAACCAAUUAUCUUCGCCGAAACUAUCAUUUUUUUCCCUAGUUCUGACAUUGUUAGAAACUUCUUUUUUUUUUUUUUAAUUCAUGAGAUGUUGUAUUGGUACAUCAGCCCUAAUAAAUGAUACUCAGCAUCCAUUAAAAUGUGAUUAUCCUCAUUUUCUAUUAAUCUAUAAUCAUAUUACAUCUAUAGUUUUGCACUUAGGGUCAACAGACUCGACAUCAUUCAUUUUUUUAAUGCCUACAACUAAGGUUUUCUUGUGGGCAACUUAAAUUUUAUUUUAAUCGAUAUCUCUUAGUCUCAUUUUUGCUUUACGACAAGAAUACUUCACCAACAUUGGAUAGAAUGAAGGCCAUCCUUGACAAAUUAUUUUGGAGAGAUCUACUUCUCUUGUCCAUGGCAAAAACGACUCUCCAGUAAUGACUCUUAGAAGUUGGUUAACACAAUAAAUGAUAUGAAUUCAUGAGUUUGGGAUAGUUGGCAAGUAGGUUGCUAAUGUCAAUAGGAGAUCGCAAGUUCGACUCCUGCACGUGGCGUCUUGAAAAACUCUAGUAAGAUGCUCAUCUCCGAAUAAAAGUUAGACUUUACGGAUGCUCCUUGGAUCGAAUCCGGAUUAGUCUCACGAAGAGUGGGAAUAUUGGGUGCUUAAAGCAAAAUAAAUAAAUAAAUAAAUGAUAUCCUCUUCUUACAUGGUUUGUGGUAGGUGAUAACUGAGGCAUACUAUUACCAAAUGGGAAAUAAACUGAUGCCAUACCACUUCACAUGAUUCACACAACACAUAAAAUUUCUUAAUUGUUUCCGGCACUUGGGCCAUAUUUCAUGGGUUGGUCAACUUGGGAUCCUUAUCAAAGAUUAAUUGGCAGACAAGUUAAGGUCUUAUUUGGAUUACAGUUAUCUUAAGAAUUUUUUUUACAUUUUGUGUGAACACAUUUAUGAAUCAUAUUUUUAUUUCAUAUAUAUCAAAUUAUUGCAACAUAUUUUUUUUUUUACAAAAACUUUUAAAAAUAGUAGUCCGAUUGGGUUCUUACCUAUUUAAGACUUCGAUGUUUCGCUACCAAAAAAAAAAAUACAAUUAAAAACUCGUCUUAUGUGGAUGCGGGGCACUGGUGAGUGAAGCAAGACCAACGCCGUGGUGUAAUAUGGGACAUUGACUUCAAAAUUUGGAAUUCAACUAUCGAACAUCAAAUUAAGCUCAUCCGGUCCAAUCAUUGUAAAUUGGAUGAUUGUUUUGGUUCAACCGCACCAACACUUAACCCAUUUUAUGUGCGCUGAGGAUGGCCCUCCCGACUCGGCCAUAUCGAGCUCAACCCUUUGUUAUUUGGGAUGGGUCGCCACAAGUCUUGGUUAUCUCGGCUAGACAUCGCAUACGGAUAAUUGAGGUGACUCCCACAUUCAUUGGUACCUCGGAUUGGUGCUGUGCUUGACACGACAUCCAAAGUCUUAUCAGAGAACUUGAUACUUGCAUGGCGGACAAGACAUCUGAUGGGACCUGUCUACUGCUCCAUCUUGUCAAAUCAGACUGGACAUGCUUAGUCCCUGCCAGGUCCUAGGAAGUUGAAACCCACUAUUCCUUCCUCCCACUUAUCCCUUAUAAAUACUACUCCUUCUACUUCAGGGGGAGGAGAAAAAAAAGAGUAAGGACUCUUCUAUUUCCAUUCCAUUAUUAACUUUCCAAGAAAACUAACUUAAUCAUCGAAGGUAUCCCGGGGGAAAAAGCCCCGCCUAGUGUGUGUAUCAGGAAAAGAACACCACCAAAUCACCUCAAUCAGGAAGAGGAGGCAUCUGGUCAGCUCGGCUUGAUCAUCCAGGAACAGUGUCUUCAUGUAUAUAUCAACUUUCUUUUCAUAGGAUGAAGACAAGUUUGCAGUAAAUACCAAAUACCCACCAGCUACACCUCACAUCACCCGUUUUAUGUAAAUGAACUUUCUUUUUUUUUAAUGGAAUGAAAAUAAUUCGGGAAUAAGUUUGCAGUAAAUACCAAAUACCCACCAACUGCACCUCGCAUCACCCCGUUUUAUGUAUAUCAACUUUUUUUUUUAAUGGAAUGGAAAUAAUUCAGGAAUAUGUAUUAGUUUUCUUACGAGUUUCAAUUGGAUACUCCUUAAGACAUCUAAAGUACACUAAAAUUAUCAUGUGAAAAUACAUAUUAACAUUUAUUAUACCUCCUAAAUUGCAACAUUUUUUUUUUUGAAUUAGUUAUACUUUUUAAAAAAAAAAACUAAUAUCUAGUACUUUUUUAACAAGUGGCCAAUAGACACUCGUCAAUCAAACCGUAGAAUUAGAUACCCAAAUCUUUUAACCCAAAAAAAGGUCCAAUUCAGUCGGGGGGCCAAACUAGGGAUGUAAGCGAGGCUACUCGUGAGUAGCUUGGUCAAUGGCUUGGUUUAAACUCGAUUAAACCGAGUUCGACCAGAGUCUCAAGCUACUCGAGUACACAUUCAAGUCGAGUUUGAGUCAGAAUUUUGCAACUCGUGGCUCGACGACUCGUCGAGCCAUAUAAUUUAAAUAAUAUAUAUAAUUUAAAUAAUAUAUGUAUUAUAAUUAUAAAAUGACAGUUAUGGGUAUAAUUUAUAUCGAAUUUACAAGUAAGGUAUCAAGUCAAAAAGCUUGAUUACUCGACUCGAUAAGGCUUGACUAAAGGUCGAGCCUUAUCGAGUCGAGUCUCGAGCUUUUAAAGAUUUUCUCGAGUCAAGCUCAAGUUUGAGAUUUUUCGACACAAUCGACUUCGAGUCGAGCUCGAGCCAAGUUAUUUAUAGGUCGAGUCGAGCUCGAGUAUAGCAAUACUCGAGCUCGACUCGGCUCGAUUACAUACCUAGGCCAAACAAGCUAUAUGUCACUCAUGUCUGGGGGGUUAUAUUCUCAGAAGUGAUUUUCAAGAUAUAGGCAGAGUAGUGGACUGUAUUAAAUUGGGACAUCGUAAUUCGUAAUUUUUAUCACAGCAAUCUUACUUGAAAUACAGGAAUUAAUGAAAGUUAGGUGCAGUGGACAUUAUUUAAUGUAUUUAAUAAACUAAUAGAGGCCCCUUUGAUUCUUGACUCAAUUCUUGACUAAUGGAUGCAAAGAAACAAGUCCCCAUAAGAGUUAGGAUAAAGUUCGGUACUAAAAAAAACUUUGUAGGAAAUUAAACCAAGCUAUUUUAGUAUUAGUCUCGUAAUUCUUUUUGUUGUCUUAUUUGUCUAGUUUUCAUAUUAAAUUAGGAAAUCUCAAUCAGUUUCCAAGUAAGUUUUGAUUUACAACUGUAUUUGUUUUAGGAAAUUUUGGAGUUUAUAAAUACUAACAGCUUAGUAAGUAAUUAUUUGAAGUGUUGAGUUGAGUUUUAAGAGUAGGUUUGAGAGAAAAUCUCAUAGUUGAGAUUUGUGAGUUGUUAUGAGCGAAAAGCUACGACUUGAUAUUUAUUAUUGUUGGGUUUUGAAUUAAAUAAAUUAUUGACUAUUUGUUUUCUUCCUCUUCCCACAUAUUUUUAUAUGUGUCAAAAUUGCUUCCGCUGUGCGCGAGGAUUUUUGGUGUGCUAACAAGUGGUACCAGAGCUUUAGACUUUGAUCCUAGGGCUUGUCCGCAAAAUUGGGGCUUAGAGCUUGUUCAUGAAAUUAAAGUAUGGAUCCCCAUUAUUUACAACAUUGUCUAGCUUUUAUCUUUGAUGGUAAAAAUAAUUUUGAGACUUGGAGGUCGAUGAUGAAGGAUUUUUUCAAAGAUAUUGGAAUUUGGAAUAUUAUCCAAAAGGGAUUCACGGAAUCUAUAACAGGUACAAAGUUAUCAAGUGAUGCAGUUAAACAAUUAGAGAGGAAUAAACAAUUAAAUUACAAGACAUUUUACUAUCUCAGUACCCAAAUCCAGUUACAAGUAGUGAAAAAUUCAUACAUGUAAAGACAGCUAAGGAGGCUUGGAAAUUUUUAAUAAAAUUUUAUGGCCAUAGUGGAGAAGAAAUUUGUGAUGAAGAAGAAAAAGAAUAUUUUGAUGAGACAAAGAAAGAAAAAAUUGUAGAAAUUGUGAGUGCACAUGAAGAUGAAAAAUUUGUGAUUCAAGAAGAAAUCUCAUGUGUGGUUGAGAAAAAAGGUGAAGUCAGUGAUGAAGUUAAAGAUGUGCCUCAAGAUCAUAGCAACGUAGAAACUGUAAAUUUUGUCGAGAUUGAUGAAAUUUUUGAAGAGAAAAAUCAAGUGAUGGACUUGGUUGAGAUCAAUUGUGAGGUGCACAAAUUAAUUGAAAAUUGUGAUACUACUAAAGUUGAUGCAAUUAUUAGUGUGAAACAAAAUAAAGGAAAAACAUGGUGAUGUUAAAAACAUUGAUAGCAACAACUAUGAUUUUCUGAUUUUGGGAGAUUUUCUUGGUGACAUGAAUGAAUUAAAUUAUGGAGUAUCUAAUGGAGUAUGGGUGAGUAUGAUUGAAUUUUUUUGAUAAGAGUGAUCAAACGAAGAAACUGUUUGAGAAGUACAAGUUUCAUCCACUAUUGCACGUGAAAAUGAAGUUGGACAUCAAUUGCAAAUUGGUGUUCCACAUCAUCUAUUCAGCGACGGAGUUUUUCAUGGAGAUUCAAGCUUAUGAUGGCAUUGGAAAUGACAACAUUAAGAGCUUGGUUUAAGGGAGGCAAUGUAGGAAAUUAAACCAAGCUAUUUUAGCAUUAUUCUCCUAAUUCUUUUUGGUGUCUUGUUUGUCUAGUUUCCAUAUUAGAUUAGGAAAUUUCAAUCAGUUUCCAAGCAAGUUUUGGUUUACAACUGUAUUUGUUUUAGGAAAUUUUGGAGUCUAUAAAUACUAACAGUUUAGUAGGUUAUUAUUUGAAGAGUUAAGUUGAGUUUUAAGAGUAGGUUUGAGAGAAAAUCUCAUAGUUGAGAUUUGUGAGCAAAAAGCUACGACUUGAUAUUUAUUAUUGUUGAAUUUUGAAUUAAAUAAAUUAUUGAGUAUUUGUUCUCCUGCUUUUCCCACAUAUUUUUAUAUGUGUCAAAAUUGCUUCCGCAGUGCAUGCGUUUUUUUGUGUGCUAACAAACUUCGAUAAAGCAUUGACUGGCUUUAGAAUACAAUUGCGCUACAUCACAAAAUGGAACAUAAAUAUAGAUGAGGCAUUUAAAAUUUAUGUCAUGUUAAAUAUUGGAGUAUUUCCCACUUUUUCUGCUAAUAGACGUGUCCCUGUUUGGAGAUUUGUCUAGCAAUGAAGGUUGUCAAGAUUUUUUUAUAUAUUUUUUUGGGGGUGGUCCUAGUUGGGUCACCGUCUGAGAUUUUCUUGGCCUGAAGAAAUCAAAUAUUGAUACCAUUAAGCCCAGAAGAUAUUUUUUUUCAAUUAAAAAGAUGCAACUUUGGUUGGUUUUCAAUGCAUUUUUCAUAAAUCUGCAAGCUAACUGAGUGUCCUGGGCAAAAAUUAAUUGGUCACCAAGUUUUAGCAUUCUUAUGACUUUAAUGUUUUCUGUGAUUUUGGAACCAGGUAACCAUACCAUCUUUCUGAACUUUUCUUUACCAAAAAAAAAAAAAAAAAAUUAUAGCAGGACAAAAUUAAUAGGAGUUCGUGUUAUUUGAAAAAAUCUAGUUUUAUGUGGAUCCGAGGGACCGGUGGGUGAAAGAUCAAUAUCUUGAAAUCAAUAUUGACUUCAAUGUCUUGAAAUCAAACAUGUAACAUCAAAUUUCCGUCAAUGUAACAUCAAAUAGGAGUUCGUGUAAUAUUUAUUUCUUUAACAUCUAUUACUCUGACUAUAAAAUAAAUUUUUAUACUUACUGUUGCGUAAUAAUUUGUUAUUGAAUCAUGAGAAAAUGAGUUUAAAACGAUUACCUAUUACCUAACAUUUCACUUCUAUUUAAAGACGAAAGACAAUAACAGUAAUAAUCAAUAAAAAAUAUUACAUUAUUGGGAAUAAUAUUUAAAAAAACAAUGGAAAUGCAAAUGUUUAAAGAAUAAAUAGUACCGGAAUUUCUAAUUUGAUGUGAAUGACAUUUUAAUCGCUGUAGUUGGGAUUUUGUCCUUCGAAUUUGAUGUGAGAUUUCUCUUUCGUCAACGCAAAGUUGAUGAAACUUUUCGAAUUGCAGUGUGGAAUCGUUGCAGUGUACGUUUCGUUUUUCGCAAUCUUGCGAGUUUAAAAUUUAAUUGUCGUUGAAAUGCUUGUAGGCGGGCAUGCUCCAUAGUGAAAUUAGGUUAAGGGCUAAGAUGGAUACCAUAAAAAAGUUGAAGGAGAUAAUAAGUUUUUGGAAAAAACGCAAAAAAGUUUUCUUAAUUGGAGUGAGCACGCAAGAAAGUUGAAUGAGGAUACUAUAUUUUGGAAGAAUUUUAAUUAGAGUGGAAUUCUUAAAUUGGAGGACUCUUAAGUGGAGUGGGAAAGUAGGAGAAAUGUAGGGAAAAUGUGAGCAUGAUGAUAGAAUUUUUAGGAGAUGAUUAGUUAAGAGAUAAACAUUUCUUAAAUUAGAGGACUCUUAAUUGGAGUGAGAAAUGUGGGGGAAAUGUGAGCAUGAUAUAGGAUUUGUAUUAUACUGAAUAACUUGAUAGUAUACUCAAAUCACCGAUGAGGUAAAAUUUGCCUAAAUAAGUUUUACAGUGUCCUAAUUCCUUGAAAAAAAAAUUGCUAAAUAGUCCUAAUUGGCACUACAAGUUACGGCAACGUGCCAGUGGCAUCUAGUCCUAAUUUUUUUUGGGGUCAAAAUCUAGUCCUAAUUGGUUCUGUUGUUUCUUGAUCAUGUUGUAUGCUCCUAAAUUCUACUUAGCGUGUAAUAAUUGAUAAUGGCUUAUUCUAUUCUUUCAUGGUAUUGGACAGGUGAAAAUCACACUAGAAGUGUGGUAAAUUUACUAUAAACUCCUAAUAUUAUCUCCCCUAAUUUUUGUAUAUUUUUUUAAAAAUUUAAACUUUUGUCAACAAUAGGCUGGUCAUGCAAAUAAAAAAAGGGAAUAGUCACACAUCUCAUUCUUUGCCCUAAAGAACUCAAUUUAGCAAAUUUCUUAGAAUAAUGGUGAAAAAAAUCACAACAAUGGAGGAACCUGGGUUUGUUUCCUUCUUUUUUCUUUUGGAUUUGAAACAGCCCUAUUCAGUUAUAAAAAAUAAAUAAAUUAGCCAUCUUACGUUCAUUAAGAAAGGGAAAAUUUUUUGGUCGCUGCACAUGGAUGUCCGGCCAUCCUAAAGGGAAAAAAAAACAAUUGUUCCAUUCUUGCGAUUUUUUUUAGGGUCUUAACUUUACAUUUAGUUGCACAUUUGUGAUUUUUUUGAAACGUGAUUGUAAUUUGUAAAGGUCAUUUGUAAGAGUGGCUAUAGGAUUAGUUUAGUGAUAAAUAUUUCUUAAUUAUAAAAAUGUAAAAUUGUAUUAAAAUAGCAUACGAAUGAACAUUUGUCUUUAAUUAAGGAGAAAAAAAGAUUUAAAGUAUAAAUAACAAACUAUAAACGGUUUAUAAAGUAGAUAGCGGGAAAGUUUGAAAUUUUAAAUUUGACUGGUGAUAAGGUUAGUCAUAACCCACUAUUUUUUAUGUAUUAAAAUAAAUACAAAAAUCUAGAAAAAAGAAUAAGAAGUUGGAAGCUAUUGAGAGUCUCUCUCCUAAAAAUCCACUCUGCAAUACAUAUAGAUAUAGAUUUUCCUAUCAUUCUGCUAAUAAACUUGUCCCUAUCUAAACCUAGAGAAAUGUUCACCAAGUCCUACUUGGGUGACACAGAUUUUUCUUGGCUAGUAGAAAUAGACAUUGAUAAUUUGAGAGGUUAAAUGAAAAGUGUGAAUAUCAAUUUCCAAUAUAAGGGUAUUUUCCUAUCUUUCUACUAAUAGACUUGUCCUUAUCUAAACCUAGAGAUAUGUCCACCAAGUCUGUCUUAGGUCAGAGUCUGAGAUUUUCUCGGUUAGCAGAUAUCGAUGUUGAUAGUUUGAUAACAUUAAGUCCAAAAGAUUAGCUGGGCUUGGCUCUGAUCACUAUUUACGGCAUGUGGUGAUUCAUGAUCCGUGGUCGCAAUCAAAGUCAAACCCAUCUAAAUUGUUUAUUAUAAAAAAAUUAUUAAUUACAAAAGAUUUUUUUUUUUUUUAAUAAAGGAUGCAUUCUUUGGUUGGUUUUCAAUGGAUUUUACGUAAAUCUGCAGGCUAAUUGAGGUCCCUACCAAAUAAAUGGAAAGAAAAUAGUCCGUACCAUGUUAUGUUAAUUUCCAUGGCUUGGAGGGGUAGUUUUGACACCCACUCUACACAUGAUUCAUGGCUUAAUUAAUUUGAGUUUACAGAUAUCCACUCAAAUCAAUUUGAUAUGACAGGAGUAGGGCUGGCAACCCCGUUGUCAAAUAACUCCCCCCGUCCCCCGUCCCCCGCCCCAUCCCCUGUCCCUUGCCCCCAUCCCUCACCCCGUUUCCCCCGCGGUCCCCCGUGAGUAAAGAAAUCAAUUUACAAAAAGUAAAACUCUUCUCAUAUAUCCAAGCAUUUUUGAGAACUAACAGGAGAGAGGAAGAAUUCCCAAACACUAACCAAAAAUACCAAGAACAGUUAAAAUCCAGAAAUAACAAAAGGCAAAGAUCAAUGGAAAACAUAAAAAAAAAAAUCAGCAAAAUGAAGGGAAAAACAAACCCAUGGUUGUUGAAACUGCUUAUAAACGAUAUCAUAGGUCAUGGAAAGAAUUCUUGUUCCAUUAGACUCUCGUAUUUACAUUUUCAUUGAGGCUUUUAGACAAACAUCUUAUAUAUAUAUAUAUAUAUAUAUAUAUAUAUAUAUAUAUAUAUAUAUAUAUAUUUUAUGCGGGGGACGGGGCGGGUGUACGUUGCCCCCAUCCCACGCCCCGUUUUAAGGCGGGGGUAAAUAUUUCGCCCCCACCCCGCCCCCACCCCAUUUCUACCCCGCGGGGUGGGCACCCGCCCCCAUUGCCAUCCCUAGAUAGGAGACAAAUGAUGUAUCACUUGAUUUUUUUUUUGUGUAUAUAUCAUAUCUUGAUUUUUUUAUGUGUAUAUGUCAUAUCACGAUGCUAUUGCAAAUUUUUGUUUAAAAAUUACUUGCAUAUACAAAUUCAUCCGUGACGUGCAUUUGGAUUAGUCUAUGAGGAUAUGGAUCCAAUUAGACCGACAGUUUCCUUUUCUUUUUUUUUUGUCCAAUCAAUGUUGUAGCGUCUCAAUCCCUAGGGUUCUUAGUGAUAAAUCAAAUUGACAAAUUAUUAAUGUAACACAUCACUAAAGUUGUGCAAGUUGUAACCAAACCAUUUAAUAUUCUCAGACUGGCAACAUCAACUGGUUAAACUUUUAAUUCAUCUUCUUGCUAGGAGACAAAUUUUGCUUUUCUUCUACAAUUCUAAUAGAAAUUUAAUUUAAUUUAUCCACUAUAGAUAGUCAUACAAACUGAGCUAACAAUAAAAAAAGGAAAAUACUGCAGAAUGUACCAUCUAAAACCACAGAGAUAAAGAGAUUCCGCAGCUCAGUCACAACAUUGCACUUUUACCAUGUUAUUGUAUAAUUUUAAGAAUUAGUGUUUUAUACACCAUUAGCGUAAAGUUUUUUUUUUUUACAUUAAGAGGUACAGAUAUAUGAUACAUAGACAAAACGUGAAUUUAAAGUUUGAAUAGUGAUGAAGUGGCAUUCAUCUAAAAUAAACCUACUUGUGUAAAAGAAAAAAAAACUUUACACUAAUUGUGUAUAAAAAUUGGUAGCAGCAACUAUGAUUUUCUGAUUUUGGGGGAUUUUCUUGGUGACAUGAAUGAAUUAAAUUAUGGAGUAUCUAAUGUAGUAUGGGUGAGUAUGAUUGAAUUUUUUGAUAAGUGUGAUCAAAUGAAGAAACUGUUUGAGAAGUACAAGUUUCAUCCACUACUGCACCUGAAGAUGAAAUUGGACAUCAAUUGCAAGUUGGAGUUCCAUAUCAUCUAUACAGUGACGGAGUUUUUCAUGGAGAUUCAAGUUCAUGAUGGCAUUGGAGAUGACAACAUUAAGAGCUUGAUUUAAGGGAGGCAAUGUAGGAAAUUAAACCAAGCUAUUUUAGCAUAUUAUUCUCCUAAUUCUUUUUGGUGUCUUGUUUGUCUAGUUUCCAUAUUAUAUUAGGAAAUUUCAAUCAGUUUCCAAGCAAGUUUUGGUUUACAACUGUAUUUGUUUUAGGAAAUUUUGGAGUCUAUAAAUACUAACAGUUUAGUAGGUUAUUAUUUGAAGAGUUGAGUUAAGUUUUAAGAGUAGGUUUAAGAGAAAAUCUCAUAGUUGAGAUUUGUGAGCGAAAAGCUACGACAUGAUAUUUAUUAUUGUUGGAUUUUGAAUUAAAUAAAUUAUUGAGUAUUUGUUCUCCUGCUUUUCCCACAUAUUUUUAUAUGUGUCAAAAUUGCUUCCGCUGUGCAUGCGAUUUUUUGUGUGCUAACAAACUUCGAUAAAGCAUUGACUGGCUUUAGAAUACAAUUGCGCUACAUCACAAAAUGGAACAUAAAUAUAGAUGAGGCAUUUAAAAUUUAUGUCAUGUUAAAUAUUGGAGUAUUUCCCACUUUUUCUGCUAAUAGACGUGUCCCUGUUUGGAGAUUUGUCUAGCAAUGAAGGUUGUCAAGAUUUUUUUAUAUAUAUAUUUGGGGGUGGUCCUAGUUGGGUCACCGUCUGAGAUUUUCUUGGCCAGAAGAAAUCAAAUAUUGAUACCAUUAAGCCCAGAAGAUAUUCUUUUCAAUUAAAAAGAUGCAACUUUGGUUGGUUUUCAAUGCAUUUUUCAUAAAUCUGCAAGCUAACUGAGUGUCCUGGGCAAAAAUUAAUUGGUCGCCAAGUUUUAGCAUUCUUAAGACUUUAAUGUUUUCUGUGAUUCUGGAACCAGGUAACCAUACCAUCUUUCUGAACUUUUCUUUACCAAAAAAAAAAAAAAAAAUUUAUAGCAGGACAAAAUUAAUAGGAGUUCGGGUUAUUUGAAAAAAUCCUAGUUUUAUGUGGAUCUGAGGGACCGGUGGGUGAAAGAUCAAUAUCUUGAAAUCAAUAUUGACUUCAAUGUCUUGAAAUCAAACAUGUAACAUCAAAUUUCCUCCUAUGGAGAGGUUGUUUAGGGGGAGUUUCUUCUCUCCUAGAGAUUUUUAGUGAGAGUUUUUUCUCUCCUAAAAAUUUCUGGUGAGAGAUUUUGUGGUUAGUCUACCUCUUAUAUUAGAUAUAAGUUUUUUUUUUUAGAUUUGAUUGUCAGAUCUAAGAUUUCUUAGAUCUACCCUAUCAAAUCUCACUUUAACAUAUGAAUUUAAAUAAGUUCAUUAGCAGAUUUAAAAGGAAGCAAUUAGUAGUAUAGUUGGAAGCAUACACGGAUGAUCUUAAGAUCAUGAAUAUUUUAUCUUUUAAUUUUUUUUAGAAUUUCAACGUUAUAUGCUAUUGACUUUCUAGAUUUGUAUAAUUGAUAUAAUUUCUGUCAUUAACGCAGAUUUAAUGAAAUGAUGCUGUUUUUUUAUUUAUUAAAAAUAAAUGUAACAUCAAGUUGAGCUCAUGCAGUCCAAUCAUUGUAAAUAUCAUUGUAAAUUGGAUGAUGCUGUUGGUCACCGCUCAACACCUCAACCAUUUUUAUUUCUUUAAUUCUUAUAGAAUGAAGACAAUUUAGCAAUAAAUACCAAACACCAACCAACGCCCCUCACCGCACCCCGUUUUCCGCACAUCAACCUUCUUUCAUGGAAUGAAGAUAAGUUAGGAUUCAAUAACCAUAUCCUUUAACCGACGAAAAAAAAGAAAGAAAAAAAGAAUCCGAUUUAGUCCGGGGGGCCAAAGAAGCCAUCUGUAAUUCAUAACUUAUAUUCUCAGAAGUGAUUUUAAUUGUCAGAAGAUCAAAAGAUGGGCAGAGUGGUGGACUGCAUUUAAUUGAGAUGCUGUAAUUCGUAAACUUUAUAAGGGCACAAGGGUUAUGAUAAAAUUUGGUACCCAAAAAAAAAAGAAAAAAACUUCGAUAAAGCAUUCGUGGGCUGUAUUUUAGCAUUUUCCACUCGCGCUACGUCAGAAAAUGGAACAUGAGCAUAGAUGAGGCAUUAAAAACUUAUGUUACUUGAAAUAUUAGGAGAAGUGAUAUCUGCACUUUCAAAUUAGUCUCUAGUACUGUUUAGAGACUAUACUCUUAACGAGUAAAUUGAAGUGCAAAAAAGGUUAAAUGAGGAGUGCGAAUAUCAAUUUUCAAUACCAGAAUAUUUUCCUAUCAUUCUGCUAAUAAACUUGUCCCUAUCUAAACCUAGAGAUAUGUCCACCAAGUCCUACUUGGGUGACACAGAUUUUUCUUGGCCAGUAGAAAUAGACAUUGAUAAUUUGAGAGGUUAAAUGAAAUGUGCCAAUAUCAAUUUUCAAUAUAAGAGUAUUUUCCUAUCUUUCUAUUAAUAGACUUGUCCUCAUCUAAACCUAGAGAUAUGUCCACCAAGUCCUACUUGGGUCACGGUAUGAGAUUUUGUCGGUUCGGAGGAAUCGAUGUUGAUAGUUGGAUAACAUGGAAGUCCAAAAGAUUACGUGGGCUUGGCUUUGAUCACUAUUCACGGCAUGUGGUGAUUCCUGAUCCGUGGUUGUGGUUGCAAUCAAAGUCAAACUCAUCUAAAUUGUUUAUUAUAAAAAAAAUUAUUAAUUACAAAAGAUUUUUUUUUUUUUUUUAAAUAAAGGAUGCAUUCUUUGGUUGGUUUUCAAUGGAUUUUACGUAAAUCUGCAGGCUAAUUGAGGUCCCUACCAAAUAAAUGGAAAGAAAAUAGUCCGUACCAUGUUGUGUUAAUUUCCAUGGCUUGGAGGGGUAGUUUUGACACCCACUCUACACAUGAUUCAUGGCUUAAUCAAUUUGAGUUUACAGAUAUCCACUCAAAUCAAUUUGAUAUGACAGGAGACAAAUAAUGUAUCACUUGAUUUUUUUUUUUUUUUUGUGUAUAUAUCAUAUCUUGAUUUUUUUUUAUGUGUAUAUAUCAUAUCACGAUUGCUAUUGCAAAUUUUUGUUUAAAAAUUACUUGCAUAUACAAAUUCAUCCGUGACGUGCAUUUGGAUUAGUCUAUGAGGAUAUGGAUCCAAUUAGACCGACAGUUUCCUUUUCUUUUUUUUUUGUCCAAUCAAUGUUGUAGCGUCUCAAUCCCUAGGGUUCUUAGUGAUAAAUCAAAUUGACAAAUUAUUAAUGUAACACAUCACUAAAGUUGUGCAAGUUGUAACCAAACCAUUUAAUAUUCUCAGACUGGCAACAUCAACUGGUUAAACUUUUAAUUCAUCUUCUUGCUAGGAGACAAAUUUUGCUUUUCUUCUACAAUUCUAAUAGAAAUUUAAUUUAAUUUAUCCACUAUAGAUAGUCAUACAAACUGAGCUAACAAUAAAAAAAGGAAAAUACUGCAGAAUGUACCAUCUAAAACCACAGAGAUAAAGAGAUUCCGUAGCUCAGUCACAACAUUGCACUUUUACUAUGUUAUUGUAUAAUUUUAAGAAUUAGUGUUUUAUACACCAUUAGCGUAAAGUGUUUUUUUUUUUUUUUACAUUAAGAGGUACAGAUAUAUGAUACAUAGACAAAACGUGAAUUUAAAGUUUGAAUAGUGAUGACGUAGCAUUCAUCUAAACCUACUUGUGUAAAAAGGGAAAAAAAACUUUACACUAAUUGUGUAUAAAAAUUAAUCCCAAAUUUUAAUCAUAGUCCUUAUAACGUAAAUUAGAUUAGAAAAGCACUUGCAUAUUUCUCUAUCAUAUGCUUUACGCUGAACUAGUCUUUUGAGCAUAAUCAUUAUGCUAAAAAUUUCUUGACAACAUAAUAGGGAAACCUGUGGAGUUUGAUGAACCAACGGAGUUGAUGAAAAAGAAAUAUUGGUCUCUUUGUCAAGCUCUGCAGAAUUACAACGAAAUUAACAGCAGAGACAGUGUGUGAUCCUUUUACAUGGCUUUCUAGUAAAUAUAACUCCUCAAACACAGCAAUAAAAAUUUCCUUACAACUUCGUAAAAUGUAAUAAAACUACCAUUUGUGGGUCAAUUUCACGAGUGUGCCUAAAAUAAUACCAUAAAAUUAGUUAGUGCGAUAAUAGACAUGAUGUGCUAUUUAUCGUAUUAAUUGCCUUUUCUUUUUUUUUUUGGUACAGGAUAAAAGGACAAAUCGUUAAUGACUAUCUUGUAGCUCUCUACAUGUUCUGAAUGAAGGAUAAUAAUAUCUUCUUUUGUGUGAAAAGAAAAAAAUGAUAAAUCUUAAGGAUGCAUAUGCUAAGUUCUAUGAUUCCCCUAAUGCCAAAUAUUUGACAGAGACUAAGCCAACUAGUAAUUAAAAUAAGUUGAUCUUGAGGGUAAAAUGGAGGUAUCAAAAAUAUUAGUUUCCUAGAAGUUCUAUGAAAAUUUCCCUGUUUAAGGUAAAAAAAAAAAAAAGAACCAUGUUUAUUCAUCUACAUAGCCUCAUCAUAACUUCAAUAUAGAAAUCAUUUGUCAUGUGUCAACAAUUCAUGGUAGCAUGUGUUGUAUCAGUUACAGGACUUUAGGGCAAACUUUAGCUUCCUAUAAAACAUUUAUGAUUCAAUGACUUUGGUGCACUCCCAAAAAAGAUGUUCAAAGUAAUUUGAUUCAGCUUCGUCUUGAUUAGAUCGAGGAACUCAAGCCAAUAUGCGCCAACUCCCGAGUUGGACUUUCUGGUCACUUCAAUGUUGCCCUAAUCCAAAUCUUUACACUAGGAAAAUGAGUUCAACCAAAAAAAUAUUGCAGUAUUAAACUGGCCUCUGAGAGAGGAAUCGAGACAUAAAGUUUUCAAUACGUAGAAAUUCAUUAAACAGCUGAUAAUAAUUACAUCGAUCGAUUAUUGGACCACACCAUUAACAUAUGAUAUUAUCAUAACUCAUAGGAGCAAGCACACAAUCUAUUUCAGGUUUGCACAUGGUACAACCUUCGUCGAGCUUACAUUUAUUCAAUACACUAACUGGAGAUCUUGGAACUUCCAAACACACAUGUUCGUGCCAUCUAUGAUGACAAUUUAGCACCCCUUCAUUUGAGAUGGUGAGUCUCAAUAUCCUUAGUGACAUGAAGGCAAAAGUCCAUCAGAGUAUUUGGAUCUGGGAUAUUGGGAUUCUUUUUCUCAUACUCGAAGGUCCAUGUAACCAAGUUGCUUUUGCCAUGGGCAUCAACAUGAACUGUUAUGAUGAAGGUCUUGUAUAACUCCAGCACAUCUCCUUCAAUCACCUUGAAUGUGAUUGACCUCUUUGCCUCAUCUAUGGCCUGGAUAACCUCUUUGGCCACUUUCUUUUUUCCAUCUAAAAAAAUUGAAGAAUUGAACGAGAAGAGUGUGAAACUCUAAAGGUAAAAAAAACAAAAUUCAGUAAUUAUUAAGGCCAAGAAAAAUAAAUUUUCCUAGUGGCCUCGCAACCAUGCAAAGAUUGUUAACAUUUGACCUUUACUUGAACCUUUCAAUUUUAUCUUUCAAUUUUUUUAGCAGGUGAGGAUGAAAUUUAAGAAAUUACAAGAGGGACGAAGGUGUUGAACAACCAGGCACCAAGAUCAUUUGUGAGUUGAAAACUUUGCUCAAAUAGAUCUAAGCAUUAUACAUGCAUGCAGAAUCAUAAACAAGAAAAGAUGGAAAUAUUUGAAAGGAACAACGAAAAGAAGGAAAAUCAGGAGGAAAUUCAGAUACCGUGAGUAUAAUUCCAGAAGAUGACAGAUCCGACGGUUCCCCAAUUACCAUCAUGCAGAUCACAACCUUGAAUAUGAGUAGGGCUCAUCGCAGAUACAUGGUGUGGUCUGUGCCUAAAAAUUUCAUGAAACACAUCUCCAUCGGAUUUUAUCUCGAUUUGGUUAACGAGCUUACCAGUAAGACUCAUUUCUUCUAGCUUUUUUAAGCCAAGAAAAUAUGACUACUGAAGGAAGAGGGGUGAGGGAAAGCUAAAGACUGAAGGGCCUUUUAUAGUUGAGUUGUCUGCAUUACUUAAACGCCAAAACGUCAUAGUGUACUAAGGGCCAGCUGUGUUUGUCUCGUUUGAGUUAAAGCUUGAAUUGGUUUAAGGAGCCAUUUGGUUUGAAUUUCACAGUCACUGUCAUUAUCUGUAUCAUAGGGUGAUCAAUGAUAAUAGAUUUUGAUGAAAACCCAUAGUAUAUUUAUUAAUGUAAAAUGGAUUUUAUAAUUUAUAAUUUAUAUUAUUUCUUUUUUUUUUUUCCAUUUGUUGGAACCAGUAGAAACGAUGGCAUUUUUUUUCUUAUUUUUACAUUUAAAGAGAAAAAGAUAAAUAAUUAAAAUGGCAUUUUGUUUUCCAAUUUUUAUAUUUAAGGAGAAUAAGAUGGGUAAUUAAGAUGAUUUCCUAGUGAAGGUGAUUAAUCACAAAACCCAUAGAAGAGGCCUAUCAUUCCCAUUAGCCUCAAACAAACAUCAUAUAUGGGUGUAAUUGAAUUUGAAACUUGUGUUGAAACCCAUUUACUGAACAUCCCCUAAUUUUUUAAUGGAUUGGGUUGUGUGCCUUAUCUAAAGACCAAAAAGUCUCAACUAGGGUAUUCACGGUAAAGAUUUUGUUGCAAAAAUUUCAAUAACAAAAAAUGUAACUGACAAAAUGUGUUUUGCGCAUUACAUUUAUCUAUUUCUCAUAACAUAUUGCAUAGACAUCAUUAGGAAUGCAAACGAGUCGAACCGAAUCAAGUUUCGGCCUAAUCGAGCCAAGGCUCAACAUAAUUUUAUGAAACUUCAACUUGAGUUUGAGUUCGAGCUUAAAAAAUAAAAAAUAAUUUUAUUUUUUAAAAAUGAAUAAAAUAAUAAUUUUUAAUAAAUAAUAAAAUAUUAGAAAUAUUUAUAUAUAAUUUUAUUAUUAAAAUAAAAAUAAUAAAAAAAUAUACAUAUAAUCAAGCUCGAUCCUGCUCACGAAUUAAUGAGUUACCAUUCAAUGGGGGUAUUUUUGGAGUUAACCCCAUUAAUGAGUUAACUCCAAAAAUACUCAACAAAGAAUGGUAAUACUUGGGCAUUGAUUGGGAUCCCAUAAAGUGGAAAUAUAUUUUUUUUUGGUAACAUCAAAGUUAGAUCCGGACCGGAUUUGUCGGUUCGAUUGGUCCGACUGUGAAUUGAUUUUUUUUUUCAAAUUGGUUUGUAAUAUAAAACUGAUUUGAUAAAAACCUAUCGAAACCACAAAAAAUCGGUUAAACCAGUGACCUAAUUCGACUGGUUGAUCCGGUUCUUAAACUUUUCUUUUUUCUUUUCCCUAAACAUAAUUGAGUUACCUAAAUUGUAAUAUUUUCAUUUAUUAAUAGAAAUAAAAAAAGUCACCCAUUUAGUGUAAAUAUCAAAAUCACUCGCUUUCUUAAAUGAUUUUUAAAUCAAGAUGUAUUCAUUCCUAUGAUCUCAUUAAUUUAGCAUUGUGAUUCCAAUUUGCAUUAAUUUGUUUUAAUUUAGUUUUUCAAGUAGUUUUGGAGAAUGGACAUAUUUUAACCAAGAAUUUACAUUUUUAUAUAUAAUUAUUAGGUGUAUAUUUGAUUGCAUGUCUAAUAUUUUUGGAACAUUUUUCAUGAUUGACGAAAUAUAACCAAGAACUUAAUUUCAAUAUUUCUGAAACUUAUAAAAAUAUAAAAUAAUUAUAACAUCAUGCUGAUAUCAGCAAAUUUUUUAGAACGGUUCAAUUGAUCUAACCAGUUGACCACCUCUGAUCAAAUAGUUUAGCCGAGUCGCUAUCGGGUCCGAGUUUAACAACAUUGGAUAUCAUUUGGUGGUGCAUGAUUUACCAAUCCAUCAACCAAUUACGAGCACUACAACUAAAGUACUUUAUUUUCUUGGCAUGCAUUGCAAUUGCACUUUUAUUUUAUUUUGUUUUGUUUCUGGGAUAUAAAUUAUCCUCAAAAGUUGUACUUUAUUCUAGUUGGAGUAAAAUAUCAUCAGCGCUAAUAAAAUGAUUUUUGUUCUCUUUUUCUUUUUUUUCCCUCUUCCCCACGAAAGCAAGUAAAUUUAUAUUUUAGAGAGAGGCAACAAAAUCUCCCUGUAUUAUUCCAUUUCUUAUUUUUAUUCAACUUAGAUCUAGCACAAUGAAAUCAAAGAUAUGAAAAGAUACAUAUAAAAAAAAAGCAAAAAAAAAAUAGAGGGAAAGACAAAUCUUGCAUUAUGAAAAAAGUAAACAAAUAAUACUAAUAUAAGAACAAUAAGAAAAGGAAUAACAAAAUAGAAGGCUUAUUGGACUUUUCAUAGAUGUAUUGGGUUAAUAUUAAUAAUUUUUUUUUACAUAGAUAAUUUGACAUUUGAGCUACUAGUCUUACCCAGAUAAGUUCCAAAGUAUGUUAAUUUUGGACUUGAAUCAUUUUUACAAUCCCAUAUUCUAUACAAAGCCAGAAAGAGUGAAUUCUUUGAAUCAGUACCUAGUAAUUUUACUUAAUUAACUCCAUGUGUAUAAUUUGGAACCAAUGUAACUAUAACUGUCUGAAUAACAAAAUAAUUAGUUUAAUGUUUAUAGUACAGUGUAAUCUUAACACAUGAUCGGCAUUCUCCAUUAUUUUCACGGAGUCGUGCCAACAACACUAGGCACUCCAUCUUUUACUAUCCCUGCAUUUUCGUGAACUUUGUCCAUGAAUAAGAAGCUUGCAUGGUGUUGGAAAUUAAGAGUUAAAUGUCAAUGUCACUACAUUUCAUGAAAAAAAUACCAUCGAAGCUAAAACCUCCAGGAUGAGGAUUUUAUGUAAGUAAUGAAAUCGGUUUUAUGCAUGUAAAAAUACCAUAACAACACUUAGGCAUAAAUUAUAAAGCCCUCGUUUUAUUUAUGUUGCACAAAGAUUCUUAUAACAGAUGAUAGGCUGGUUACAGAAUUACUAACAUACCAAAACAGUACAACAAGAAAACACACAAUUACUUGAGUCUUUCACAUUGGACAUGCCACAAUCUUUUUCAUCAAGUUCACAUCCUUCACAACAUACGCUUACAAAUAUAGCAACUUGUAAUCAAAUUUAUGCUUCAUAUGAUCAUGAUUCGGAAAUCAUAGGCCCUUCAUUUGAGAUGGUGAGUCUCAAUAUCCUUAGUGAGUUUGGUGGCAAGGUCUGCUAUAGUUGUUGGAUCAGGGACGCUGUGAUUCAAUUUCUCGUACUGGAGGGUCCAUAUAACCAAGUUGUUUUGACCAUGAUUUUCAACCUGAACAGUAAUGAUGAAGCUCUUGUACAACUUCAACAGGUCUCCUUCAAUCACCUUAAAUGUGACCGACUUCUUUUCCUUGUCUAUAGACUCAAUUAUCUCCUUCGCCACCUUCUUUUGUCCAUCUGAAAAGACGUGAACAGUGGAAUUAAUUAACCAAUAGAUUAGGUACUGGAUUUUGAAGCCGAAAGGCAUAAUUUUAAACGGCCAAAGUCUCGCCAGCGCAACUUUAAGCAACGUAGACUUGUUGAGUAUUUAAGAAUGCUUGACCAACUUAUAAAGCAAUUUAAUGCUCUUCACGACUUGCAUGUAGCAGAUAUAACAAGAAAGAUUGACAGAUUUGAACUUUGGAAGGAAAACCCCCAAAAAAAAAAAAAGUAUUAAAAUGGUAAAAGUAAAUCGAUGGAAAAAAUGGAAAGAAUCAGAAACUUACCGUGAGUAUAUGUCCAGAAGAUGAUAGAUCCUACUGUUCCCCAAUCACCAUGAUGCAGCUCACAACCAUGAACGAUAUCAGGGCUUAUGGAGGACAUUUCAUGUGGUUUGUUUUUGAAGAGCUCAUGAAACAUAUCUCCAUUGGACUUAAUUUCGAUUUGGAAAACCAGUUUACCAGUUAGACUCAUUUCUUCAGAGAUCUAUUAACCAAGAAACGAAGACUGAUGAAAGCAAGGGGUUAAAAAUGGUUUAGGCAUGAAUAAUUGAACAUGAAUUUAUAUCAAUGAGAAAAAAUGCUGUUUUCUUUUCGUUUGUUUACAUGUCGCUUUCGCACUAUCUUACUUCAUAGAUCAUGCACUAGUGCAAUGUACUAUCAUUUAUUAGAUACUCUGACUAUUUUAGAAUAUAAAAUUUAUAUGGAUAUUGUUAUAGAAUUAGUCUGGGGGCUAUUUGAUUCUAUACAAGAAGUUUUGCAAUCCGUACUGUUAGUGAUGUAGAUUUUUCGCUUUAAUCCAAGUAAAACAUACAAAGGAUUCUUCUUCUUGCUUGGGAGAACAAAAAGUUCUAAAGAGAAAAAAAAAAAGAGCAAAAGCCCUUUUGCCAUCCCCAGUUCGGAAGUCUUAGAGCUGCCCAUGGAGUAUGGAAAAUACUUAGAUUAGCAGUGCAGCCAUCAAAGAUCCAUAUCACCAAUUGUGACUACUUACAUGGCAACAUGGUUUGUAAAUAAGCUCAUAAAUCGUGGAUCGUUCAAGAAUUUUCCAUAAAGUAUAGAGGCUUUGAAUAGGCGAGCAGUAAAUCCUAGCCUAUGAAAUUUGGACAGGAUAUACAGUUCAUAUGUUUAAUUGUAGCAAAUAUAUCUUUCAUAAGUACUUCAUUUAGGUUAUGUGUAUAUGGUAUGGGAACUAAAAUUGCCAUUUACACACUUUCAUGAAUUAUUUUCAACUUUGGUGACGCUCGAUUCAAUUUGUAAACGAUUUUUAUGAUCAAACAAGGUAACUUUUUGUUUCGAAGAAAUAGAUCUGCAAUCUUACUAAAAUUCUUUGGUCAUACUUAAACUGUUAAUCUAGUAUAGGGACUUUUUAAUGUAUAAUACAGGGUUCAAGAAAUUAUGAACAAAAAAAUACAAGUGAUCGAAACAAAUAAAGCACUUACAAAAAAAUAAAUUAGGGCAAAAUAUAUUUUACACCCUUAUGGUUUAGCGAUUUUUUACAUAACCCCAAUAUAGUUUCAAAAGUUAUACAUAAUCCCUUUAUACUUUAAAUUAAAGUAUCAAGAUGACGGAAUUUGCAUUCCAUAAUGGAACCAAUUAAAAUGUCAAAAGUAUUCCUAUGUAAAGUUAAAAAUUAUUUAUUAACUAUGAGGGGAUUAUAUAUAUAUUUUGAAAACCAUAAAAGGGUUAUAUGAUAAAAUAGUAAACCAUAAGGGAAUUAUAUGGUAAAAUAUAAAACCACAUAGGGUUAGAGUGUCAUGCAUAUUAUGUUUAUAUAUUUUGGUAACUUCAACCAUUUUUUUUAAUAAAGGUAAUUUUGGCAUUUUCAUGGGUUCCAUUACAAAUGAUUAUUUUUGUUAUUUUGAUACUUUAAUCAAAACUAUAAGGGGAUUAUAUAUAACUUUUGAAACUAUAGGGAGGUUAUGUGAAAAUUUGCUAAAUCAGAGGGAAAUAAAGUGUAUUUUGUCCAAUAAAUUAAGUAAAAGUUAAAUAAGUAAAAUAUUUAGAAGCCAAGGAGGCUUUUUGCCUAAUGAUUAAGAUUAAAACUCUAGAAAUUAGAAAUCUUAAAUUAAGAUCUCCCAUCUCUCCCUCACGUCUUAAUUCUCACCCCUCCCCAGAUAAAAAAAAAUUAAAAAAAUAUAAAAUGUCAUUCCAUGGAAGUAAUUUGUUUGGAGCUCAUUCUUCCCAUGAUAGAGUUGAGCUUGUGAAUCAGUGAUGCAUUACAUCUCUACACUCCCCAACACCUUAUUGUUUAUCUAUAACAGUCAUGAGUCUUUAUCUAGAGACAGCAGGAAGAAAGACAAGUUAGAAGAUUUGCCAAAAAUGAAUAUUAAACCUUGUAAUAUUCAGCAAGGGGUGCAAAAUAUUCAGAGAUGCAUGAUUGACAAUACAUAACUUGUAAAUGCAGAAUUCCAUUAAGCAAAUAUUAUCAGUAAACUCAUAAUUAAGCAAAUAAAGUAACAAUGUGUCCACCAUCCUCAGAUCUUUCUGGGCCACAAUAUAAUCGCCCCUCGAAUAUGAUAGAUUACGAGUUAUUAAUUAUUCUUAAACUGUUUAUGAGUAUAAUAUUCUCGUAGAAGUUACUGUGCAUUAGGAUAUAAUUAUCCACUCAAUUCACUGUCAAUUGAAUUUUCUGCUUUCCAAUUGAUUACAGAAUUUACAUAUACAAAUCACAAAUAAUUUUUAUAAGUUUGUAGCGAUAAACACUAAGGUGCCUCGAUGAUAUGGCCACUCUUUGGAAGGAUCAUCUCCAAGAUAGGAGAGUACAGUCUUAUUGCCAUUGACUAGUCAUGAUCACCAAGAUGAACAAUACAUGGGCUCUUAUUUAAUUGAUAAGAUCCAACAGCUUUAUAUGUCUGCCCUUCAAAUUAAUUAAUGUACCCAAACAAUUAAAUGGUAGUUGCUAGGCAUACAUUUGUGGCUAGUAUACAUGGCAAUGGGUUGGCUGAAAAUCUGUGAUAUAUAUAUAUAUAUAUAUAUAUUCCAAUUACAAUUUGUUGAUACAUGCCUGCACAAGUUUAAAAAAUGAAAAAAAAUAUAUAUAUAUUUUUUGUGUAGGAGACCAAAAUCAAGACACAUAAAUAAAUUAAAAAAAAUGACUUUCAAGGAACAAAACUCUUUUCCUAAUGCAUGACACCUGAUAGAAAAUGACUUAUGUAUUUGUGCUGAUUGUCCAAGGAAAAAAUAAAACUAGGUAAGAGAGGGGCAAGACAAGGAAAAAUUUCAUGAUAUACCAAUACUUCUGCUAAUCGGCACAGCAGGGCAAGGAUCUUAAGAAUGAAUAUAUGAAUUCAAAUUCAAUUAUUCAAAAAAAAUAAAUAAAUGCAAGACUAAAUCGAAAUGAGACCUCAUAGUGUAAUAAUAUCUGUCAGGCCCUGAUUCUCAAUAUCUGUCUCUUCAAUUUACUCUGCAAACUUAUUUAAUCACAUUCUUAUGAAUAAGUACUCCAAACAGUGGACUGACCUUUGAAUCAAAAGGUAACUGAUAAAGAAUGCUAUGAAUCGAUCAAAUAAAUCAACAUAUAACUAAUUUAUUGAAUUAGAGGAAACAAAGUUUUCCAAGCCAUCACAAUCGAUGUCCGCCAAUAAUUCAGCAGACAAUCUGCCAGCAGAAAUUUAUGAAUCGAUCAUACCAAAAUUAUCACUCAACUUAUUUCGUGCCCAUUUGACUAAACAUUGUAUAGACAAAAAAAAAAAUCCAUGGCCCGCAAUUUUAUUUGAUAUAUUCACAAUGUCAUUUUUCCCCUCUUUUACUGGCUUUGGGCUUCCUUUUUUAUAUAUUUUCUUGACAACAACUCUUAUCACACGUAUCAUGGCAUUUUUAUUGAGCUUGACGUCAAAUAAAUAUUCAUCAUAUCCUUUCAUUGGAUGCGACGGCAGAGAAAUUGACUCUAUAUUAUUACUUCGUGCUUGAAGACGGUAAAAUAAUAAGAUUUAGAUAAGCACAAAAAAAAAAAAAGGAGAAGUUGGUCUACUACUAAACUUUGAAAUUAUCAUUCAUCUCUUGAAUUGUAACACUUUCACAAUAAAAGUUUUUAUCCUUUUGGACAAAGAAUAAUGCCACACCAACUUCUUAUCUGUUGCACUUAAGGCGCUAAAUAGACGAACCCAAAAAAUAAAUGCUAAAUGAACGUAUUUUCUAGCUAUCUAUAUCUAUCUCCAUGUUAUUAUGAUAUCCAACAAUUUGCAAUUGUGAGGUUAGCUACAGCCUGUGGUGCGUAUUUUUUUGGCACAAUUGGUGGUUUCCUUUAUUGUCACUAGUCAUAAUAGAAAAAACAACUCACUCAUGUUUGGAUAUAUUAUUACUUGAAAAAAAAAAAUUAUACUUGUAUCAGAAGCACAUUUUUUCAUUUUAUUUUUAUCUUUCGAAUUUUUUCUUUAUUUCACAAACUUUACAUACAUUGUUAUUAAAUUCAGCCCAUAUAUCAACCCAAUUCAGUAACUAGUUCAAUGGGAUAUUGGUUCAACCCAGGAUUCACUGAUUGACUCGAUGGUUGUAUUAUAUAAUAAAAUAAUGUAUUUGGAUUAUUAAAAAUAAUAUAAUCAUUUAACAAGUUGUUGAACCGCCAAUUUUUUGAGAUUUUACGAAUUGAAUUGAUAAACCAUUGACUAGUUAAUGUGCUCCUCUCUUAAUUGAUCUAACUACUUACCUAGCCCGAUUAGGUAGCUAGUUCACCAAGUUGUCUAGUUGAACCUAGGGGUGUAAUCAAACCAACUCGCGAGCAGCUCGGUCAAAAAUUUGACUUGAACUCGGGUUGACCGAGUUCGAGUCUAAUUCGAGCGCCUCUAUAAAGCAAACGAGUCGAGUUCGAGUAUUCAGAAGCAACGCUCGAGAGCUAGUCGAGUCUUAUCGAGUUUUUUAAUUUUAAUUCUUUAAUAUAUUAUUAUUAUAAAAUUACUCUUAUAUCCAAAAUAGUUAUUGAAUUUACGAAAUGUUUCAAGUCGUAUAAAAAUUUUAAAAGAGCAAUAAUGUCUUUUCACUAAAAAAUUAUCAAGAAAAUGAAAUUUUGUAGCUCGAUAAGGCUCAAAUUGACUUGAACCCAUGCGAGUCGAGCUCGAGUUCUACGAGCAAGUUUCGAACUCGAGUUCGAGUUCCAAUAAUACUACUCGCUCGAGAGUCGAGAUCGAGUAUGGCACUCGAUUACAUCCCUAGUUGAACUGUCAAAUUGUGUCAUGAUUAUAUCAUAAAAUGUACUAUAACAAUUAUUUCAAAUAAUAUUUCGAAUAAUGCCUUCAUCAAAUCUCCAAACAGUGACUUUCGACUGACUUUCGAGCCCAUUGUUGUUGAAGCAUACAAUUCGUUGUAGGAACUAUCCCAAAAAACAAAAAGAAGGUUGGAACUAUUAAUUCAGGGAGGAUAAAUCAAACAAAAACAAAAGUAUAGAUUUGGUCCACGUAGGCAAGAUUAGAUAUGACUGGUAAUUGCUACAGCUACCGAAACAUCAAUAGAUAGCAACAUUUCAAGAUUUGAUAGUACAAUCCUAUCAAUUGAUUACGAGGACCGUCGAUUGAUAGUAAAUUUUUCCGUCAUUUUUGUAACAUGAUAAAAAUUUUCUACACAGUAUACAGUAAAAGAAAAACGCCAAUCUAUGAGUGAAGACUACUCGUGAAAUAUGUAGUACAAGAAUUUGAAGUUUUCUACUUUUAUCUGUCGGAUUUUUGCUUUUUACUUUGGUGCAUUUGAAUUGUAUGUUAAUGCAGGGUCAGUUAGCUAGCCAUGAAGAACAUAUAAUAGCACUAUAUGUAUAUAAGGUAUUUGGAUCCUACUUCUGAUGUAAGGGCCAAAUUGGUGAGUAAUAUCUAAGUACCGUGUAACUGAUUUAUAGUUUCAAGAGCAUAUUCUAACUUUCGAUAAUGAUCGGAGUCGAAACUAUCCAAACUUUAUUCUUACAAAAAACGAAACAUAAGAGGAAAAUAUUUUUCACGGAAAACCUGACUUCUUUUUGUAACGAGCUUUGUAACGAAGAACUCAUUGUUCUAUAUGGCGAAGUAUCCAUUACGGCACUGUAUUAUGCACCACAACCUAAUUUAUGAUGUGCUUCUGCUUCUCAUGCUCUUGGUCUAAUUCUAUUUUUUCUUCACGAGAUAAGAAAAACAAUUCCCAACGUAGACAUGAAAUAAAGUUAAAUUGAAAUGAGUUACUAAUAUGUUUGGUUACAAUCUUUUAAUAUUGAAUCGAUUUCACACAUCCGGGUAUCUAAGUUUAACUUAUUUUAUGUUGUUUUAACAUUGUCUGAUUUAGAUGCACGAUUGUAAUGGAGGAAUUGAGAGUUAAAAAAAAAAAAAAUGGUUUCACUUACUGAGGGGCUGCUUGGUUAAAGGGUUUGGGAAUCAAAUAAUGGAAUGAACCCCUUAUUUGUUGCUUGGGUUAAGUCUAUUGGAAUGCAAUUUCUGGAAUCAUUUCUAAAAAAUCGGACUUUCACCAUUCCUGAGUAAAUUGGGAGGUUUUGGACAAAACCCUCAACUCAUUCCCGAGCAAAAACAUUUAUGACGAACCUACCCUCUUUUUUUCUUCAUUACACGCCGCAUCUUCUGUUCUUCUUCUUCAUCAGAUUUUCUACCUCUUCUACUUCACCGGUUGGACAACCAUAAAGAUCAGUGGCUUUCGACUCUCCUUGGACAACGAAUUCUAGAGUUGAAGAGUCUUCUACUAGGGUGAAUUCCUUGAUCCCAGGUUAGUGGAUUACAAACUCCCUUGCCUCUGCAAUUUUCUUUUCGUAUGCAAGCUUUUCUCUUUCUUCUUCUCUGUUUUUUCAGGCUACUCACUGGGUAGCUGAAAAUAAAGAAGAAAAGAAGGGAAUCUGAUACAAUAAAACUAACUAGACCAAAAUUGGUUGUAAUACAUGUAUUUGAAUUCACUUACUUCAACAAAUACAUUAUUUUGUUCUUUUUUUUGGUGAGAUAAAUGUUAAUGUCACUAGAUUUGUCAUUUUUAUGGUUUUAAUGUGUUUUCUUGGAUUACGCAUUCAAUGGAGGUCAAUCAAUUCUUGAUCUUUUGGUUAUUUGAUCCGUGAAUACUGGUAUAGUUUGGGUGGGUUUCUACAUGCCCUGUACCUGUUUGUAAAAUUGUCUGCUUGAAUAGCUUUCAGUUUCAUAGUUAUUCGUACAUUAGGAUUUCAAGUUUCAACCAUCAAUUUCAUUUGUUUAUGCUUAUUUAUAUCUAUACAUCAUUGUGUUUUCGGAUGUUUGAUGCAUGUCUAGGCCCUUUUAAUAAGAUCAAUUGAUGUUUAAUGCAUUUGAAGAUUUUGAUGCCGUAAUCUAGUUUGGUGAAUACUUACGUUUGGUUGUCAUAUUGUUAUGUAGACAAAGAUGCCACGUUUGCCUAUUGAAAACAGAAGACGCAAAAAAUAUCGAGGGCAAAGCCAGAUUUUAUCAGGAAUGAUAAUGGUUGUUAUUGCACUGUUUAUGAUGUGGUACCAGUUAAUAUUCAUACAUCUCAAAAGUAGAAGACGCCAAAUAAAAUCAAAAGAAGAAAAAGUCACUGAGCGCAUGCAACACUUAUUCAAUUUGACUAGGGAGAGUGAUGCUUAUUGUAUUAGCGAACUUCGUAUGGAUAGACGAACAUUUGGGAUAUUAUGUGAAAUGAUUAGAGACACUGGAGGUUUGAAAGCUAUAAGAAACAUGUCAAUAGAAGAAAUUGUUGCCAUGUUUGUAUAUGUUUUGGCUCACCACAAGAAAAGUAGAACAAUUUGUGGUCUAUUUUGGAGAAGUAGAGAAACGGUGAGUCGUCAAUUUAAUCUUUGCCUCCUAGCAGUUUUGAAAUUGCAUACUAUAUUACUUAAGAAGCCUGAGCCUAUUACCGAAGAUUGCACAGAUGAGACAUGGAAAUGUUUUAAGGUAAUUCAAAUAUUAAAAUACAAUCAUUUAAUAAAAUGUAUGUUUUCAUCUAAACUAUCCAAUAUAGACAUUUUAACUCAUUUAUAUUUUUUAUUUUUGUUAAAAUAGAAUUGUUUAGGUGCCUUAGAUGGGACAUUAAUAGAUGUGACACCACCCACCGAACAAAAAUCAAGAUACCGAACGAGAAAAGGAAGUAUUGCAACGAAUGUAUUAGGGGUUUGUUCUCCUAAUAUGCAAUUUAUCUAUGUCUUGCCUGGUUGGGAAGGUUCGGCACAUGAUGGUCGUGUGCUUCGAAAUGCUAUCUCUAGACCAAAUGGUCUUAGAGUCCCACAAGGUAAACAUAUAUUGCAGUAUUCAAUACCAUUCAAUCAAUUUUUUUUCGAAAAUAAGGUAGUCUAGUAUUAAUUUGUACAUGAUUGAAUUUUGAAGGUUGUUAUUACUUGGUGGAUGCUGGAUAUUGUAAUGCUGAUGGAUUUCUUGCCCCUUAUCGAGGGCAAAGAUAUCACCUUAAUGAAUUCAAUGGUUAUCGACCACAAAGACCAGAGGAAUAUUUCAACAUGAAACAUUCUAAAGCUAGAAAUAUCAUAGAAAGAUGUUUUGGAUUACUAAAAGGAAGGUGGAAGAUUCUAGCAUCCCCUUCAUUUUUUCCAAUUCAAAGACAAGUGCGAAUAAUUAUGGCAUGUUGUCUGCUGCACAACUUGAUAAGGAAGUUCAUGACUUUUGAUCCACAAGAAUUACUACAAAGUGAAGAAAAUGAAAGUGAAGAUGAAGACAGUGAUGAAGAAGUAGAGUGUAUAUCCACUAUUUUGCCAAGUGAUCAAUGGGCAAAUUUUAGAAAUAAUUUAGCACAUGAAAUGUUUGACAAUUGGAGGGCUGGACUUAGUAUUUAGCUAUGAAUGGAUGUUUAGCUCUUAGACUUAUUAAAUUUGGAUUGACAUUUGAUGUACUCUUGUAGUGGAUUUGUGAAUUAGAUUGACACUUGAUGUAUGUUCUUUUAAAUUUGGAUUGACUUUUAAUUGUAUGUUCUUUUAUGUGUUUUGUUAUAUUAUAAAUUUCAGUUAUAUGCUAUUGUGUAUCAAAAUUAAUUGAUAUAUAUGGGUUGACUUCUAAAUGAUAGGAUGGAGAAUGAUGAAAUUGUACGUGGAAGAGGGAAAAAUAAAUGUUUUUGGACUGGUGAAGAGGUAAAAGUGCUCAUAGAAUCAUUGCAAGAGUUGGCUUGUGAUCCAAUGUGGAAAUCAGAUGGAGGAUUUAAAAAUAAUUAUAUGAGCGAAUUGCUUAAAAUUAUCUUGCGUAAGCAACCUACUUUUACCAAACAAGUCAGCCCACAUAUUGAAUCAAAAGUUAAGUGGCUGAAAAAUAGGUUCCAUGCAAUUGUUGAAAUGUGCAAAGAAAGUGGUUGUAGUUGGAAUGAUGCUGAGAAAAAGAUUUCUUGUGAAAAACAGUGGUAUGAUGAUUGGUGCAAGGUAAGAAAUUGAUUACUUUUUACAUUCUGAUAUGUUCUUUUUCAACCUUUUAUUAAGAUUAUCAUUUAUCUUUCUAUUCUAUCUCUAGACUCAUAAGGAUGCGAAGGGCCUUUGGGAUGUCAAAUUUCCAUAUUUAGGAGAUCUUGAAAUUGUAUAUGGAAGAGACAGAGCCACUGGAAAUGUUGCUGAAGAUUUUGCACAAGCUGUCCAAGAUAUGGAAGAUGUCCAAAAUUUGGAGGAAGGACAUGAAGGGCUUGAUGCUAUGUCAAACUCGGAUAAUGAUAAGGUAGAAGAAGAUGAAGUAAAUUCCAUAGAGCAAUCAACUCAACCAAGCUCAACAAGUACAAGAAAUUCCAAGAAACAAAAGAAACAAUCCCCUCCCAUUGCAAAUGUGUCAAAAAAAAUGAAAUCUGCAUCAACAACAAGGGGUGAUCUUGAUGCAUCAUUGCAACUUCUCACCAGCAAAUUUGGAGAUUUCGUGGAGGGAAUUCAAGCUAAUUUCACAACUAUGGCAGCAGCCAUGUCAAAUGAGGAUAAACGUGAGCAAUUGGUCUCCGAUAGAAGAGAUCAAGUUGUUGCUGAGUUAAUGAAACUUGCUUUACCGAGUGGAGAUGUAAUGAAUGCAGCCGACAUACUUUCGGAGCAGAUUUCCAAGCUUCAUGUGUUCUACAAUCUUCCUGCAGAAAUGAAACGACAAUAUGUAAUUAACCUCCUUUAUCCUCCAUCUACUCGCUGAAGUAAAAUUAUUGUUAGCUGGAAAGUGAUGAUUUGAUGGCAAUUUCUUUUUGUUAUGGUGAUUGUUAGAUGGUUAUAUGAUUAGUCUUUUGGAGAUUGUGGACAUUGAAUGGCACUCUCGACUGGAUUAGACAAUUGACUUGUAUUUGGUAUGGUUAGCUUUUGUGAUUUGAGUCUCCUUCUUUUGUUCAUAUAUGUAAGGAGAGAUCUAUUUCAUAUCAUUAUCUAAUAUAGGAACCACAAAUGACUUGUUAAUGGAGUAAAUUUCCAAAAAGAAAGAGUUUUUAAACUAACUUCCUAAAGGCUGGCAAUUUUUAAGUCUCUUCCCCAAGGGUGAAAAACACAUUCAAGAAAUGUGUUCUUCCAAAUAAAAAUGCAACUUUCAAAUACGUUAUUUUAAUUUUCGUAAAUUUGUUUAAAUAUAAAAAAUUGGUUAAAUAGCGUAUUAAAUACAAAACCUGCUAAUUUCCUAUAAAGAGCUGGUAUCUUAUAAGUAAUUUCUUUUUUUUUUUUUAACUUUCACAUAUUUAAUUUAUGUUAAAUACAAAACAUACUAGUUUUCCUUUGGGCGCUAUUUAAUCAAUUUUUUCCAUAAAGAAUUGGUAUGUUUUCCAUAAAGAGUUGGUACAAAACAUACUACAAAACCUGUCAGUUUCCUUUAAAGAGCUGGUAUCUUAUGGGCAAUUUUGUUUUUUUAACUUUCACAUAUUUAAUUUAUGUUAAAUACAAAACAUACUAGUUUUCCUUUGGGCACUAUUUAAUCAAUUUUUUCCAUAAACCUGGUACAAAACCUGCCAGUUUUCCAUAAAGAGCUGGUAUCUUAUGGGCUAUUUAACCAAUUUUUCAUAUUUAAAUAAAUUUCCAAAACAUAAAAUAGCGUAUUUGAAAGUUGCGUUUUUAUUUGGAAGAACACAUUCCUUGGAUGCAUUUUUCACCCUUUGGGAAGAGACUAAAAAAUCGUCACCUUUUGGGUGAUUGUUUAAAAACUCCUUUUUUUGGGAAUUUACUCCUUGUUAAUGCAGCCACUAUAUUUAUUUUCUGGUAUUAAUUUUUUUAUUAUUUAUGAUUUUCUUAUGUUUUAUCAAAAAGUUAAUAACUAUUGUAGUUACAAUUAUGAAAUGUUAAUUUGUCGUAUGUGUAAUUCUUUUGUUUUAGAAGAAUUGUUAUAUCAGGGGUAAAUUUGGAAUUUAAUUGCAUUUAAUUCCGAAACACUCAUCAAACCAAGCAUCAGGAAUUGGAAUAAUGCUAAUUCCAAUGUGUGAACCAAGCAAGAUAUCGGAAUGAAAAGUUUUAAUUCCAAAACCAGAGUCUAUGAUUCCAAUUACAAUUCCAAUUCCUAAACUUGAACCAAGCACCCCCUGAGUUUCUCUUCAGCUACUGGAUUAGUACCCCAAAAAAAAAAAAAAAUUCAUUAUGGGCUUUUGGUUUUAUAAUUCGCCAUUGCAGUAUGUACCUGAAAUUAUGCACCUUCCCAAAAAGUCCAAAUCCUUCACUCUCAUGGGCUUUACCUGGGAUUGUUCUAAAUUUUUUUAACUUCCUUAUGUGGAUGCUGAACAAGUAGUAAAGUACAAAUGAAGCAUCUUAAGACCAUAGAGGUAUGGCCGUUAACAAAAGAAAUUCGAAGGAACAUAUCAUUUUGGGUAUGAAAUAGGGGUUUACAUGAGUCUACUUAAACUAAACAUGUUAAUGUUCAAAUUUGAUUGAUUAGUUUAUUUGCCAUACCGAACUCAAAUAAGCUUUUAUCAUACUGAGAUUGAGUAUCUUGAAUUUUUACAUGUAAAUUUUAAGUUUUACACCAAUUGAGUUAGAUUCCAAUUGAAGUCGAAACUUUUCUGAGCAAAAAAUAUGAUUCAUAUUUGGCUUGAUUAGUUGGUUACUUAAAUUCAAAUGAGUUUUUACAGUGCCAAAUUUGAUUGGAAUACUAAGUAGGUAAUUGUGGAUGAUGCAAUGCUUGGAAUAAUACUUGACCCUAUUUGAAAACCUAGGCCCUAUUUGACAACUCAAAUCAGCACUUAAAAUUAAUAGAUUCAGAUUUUAAUAUAUUCAGAUGCAUUUAAUAACAAAAAAUAGAACUUUUGAAUUAAUUAAAUGACACUAAAUUUUUUGGGUAAAACUUGUUCUGAAAAAAUAAGUAAUAAGCUAUUGGGUUAUCAUUUAAUGUGAUAUAUACUUAAAUUUAUCAAAUUUAGUAUUUAGCAGUUCAGUAAUUUAAUAGAUUUAGAUUUCAAAGUUUAGAUUUUAGUUUUCAAAUUUUAGUUUUAUUAAACACGCCCUUAGGAAGCAUUUCUAUAAAUAUUAACUUUCCCUUUAUUAAAAGGGAAGGUAAUUGUGUAAUUCACAAGUUGGCAAACUUUAGCUUCAAACUUGUGAAACUUUGUGGAAGGCGUCCUUCCGUCCUUUGAUUAGUUGGAUUAGCCAAAGAUGAUAUAGGAGCUGUUGCUCCAAUUAUGUAACUACUUUUUCCAAUGGCAAUACAUUUCAGUUGUCAUUUGCAAAAAAAAAAAAAAAAAAAUCUUUCAGCUCUAAUUGAGAGAGAAAUAAAGUUUUAUAGGAUUUUACUCAUUAAAACAAUUAUCGAUAAAUGGAACGCUGAACUUUGAAGCUCGAUGUUUAUACAGAAUGAACAAUCAUGGUUAAACAAUUCACAAAUGUUUGAUAGGUAUCAACAUGAACAGUUGCGAUGGAGGUCUUAUAUAACUCCAGCACAUCUCCUUCAAU